GUGUUCCAAGCAUCGAGUGCACAAUCAAUGGAUACUCUUUUCAGAAGACACUCUACGACACCGGAUCUGACGACAACAUAAUGGCCGCAGUCACUUAUCAGCUCCUGCAUGGAACCAUGCCCCUACAGCCAAUAUAUAUUCAGCUCCAGAUAAUUUUUAGGUCAUUGACAUGGUAGAAGACGAGUAUGAUCCACCCACCAUCCUUGGAAGACCGUUCCUCAACACUAUCAAAGCCAUGAUCUAUAUUGGAACCAGAGAAGUCCACAUGCACUUCCCUCUGAAGAAAGCGACGCAACCGCUACCAGAGGAGGCAAAUCAUCAAGGACGGAUGGGCAGACUACGAAGGAGAAGUAGUAAGGUCUGAAGACAUACAGCUUGAACAGAACUGUCCUGAGGAGACCGUAGCACCAAGUCAGGUGUGGAGAGAGAAGAUAGUUAUACACGAAGAGGAGGCGCCACCGGAACCACCUACUACGCCAUCCAGCGAAUCCCAGGACGAGUGAGAAAAUGGAGAGUCCCGUUCGGAGGACUUAAAAACACCGAAUGCCUUGCAAAGAGGUAAACUUGGUAGUUAUCCUUUUUCCUUUCAACUAUUUAAAUAGUUUGCUUAGUUAAUCAGGUUCAUAUCAUCUCGAAAAGAAAAUAAAAAUGUUAAAAAUAGUAAGCAACAUGUGAGUAUGCUCAUGGCAUAAAACCCAUAAGUACAUUCACUGUGGUGGCAUAAAGAUAAAUUAAAUAUAUUCCUGUCCUAUAAAAAUGAAAAUAUAAAAAUAAAUUUGUGAUCCUACCAAGUAAUAUUUAUUGAUGAGGCUCAACAUGAUAAAGGCUAGAUAUUUAUGCUAACACUUAACCAGUUCCACAAAGCUUUGUUGUCUAUUUGAGCUCCACAGAAUUGAAGGAUCAAAAAAGACUAGCAGACGGAGGACAUCCUAAUCGCUGUCAGGGUGCUACCAACAUUCAAAUACACCUCCGUCACUUGCUAGCUACAUCAGAAGAAAUUACAUCAAAAUCCAGCUAAGUGUGCAGCUAACAUUCAAAUACACCUCCGUCACUUGCUAGCUAAGUGUUUCUACUCGCGUUUAUACUUUACUCAAAUAAUAAAAAGAUGCAUAAUCAUAAAAGACCCAAAUAAAGAUUUUGUGCUUUUAUAUAUAUCUUUGCUUAGUUUGCUAAAUAAAUAAAUAAAUAAAGUUUGCUAUGAACCCUUAAGAUAAGCUCUCACAUGGAAAUGAUGAAUAGUUGCUCUCCCAUGACUAGUUCUUAAAAUUGAAAUCUCUCUCAAGUUUAGGCAUAACUGUUAUAAUUUAAACCAGCUCUAAACCUGAACUGUGGGAAAACUACUUGAUCUAAAGUCUAAAGUCAUUAACGGAUAUGAUAUGGGAAGGUUGAGCUGCUGUUUAUCUAUUCCUAGAGAUGCUAGAAUUUAGGAGAAUUUUAACUUUGAAAAUCUUUAAAAUAACACAUGAUGAGUUCCUGUAUGAUGAGAGUUUAAAAUCCUACCACAGCCAUAUAUACAUGCUUAUUAGACUAUGAACCAUACAUUUACUUUUUUUACUGCCUAUGAGCAGUGAGUGUGGUCAAGCUGUGUAGACCCUUAGGAGCUUGUCAUGCGGUUAAAAUCAAGAUUCACUUGCACGUUCACUCAUACAUGCUACUUGUACUCCAGAAGUACGCAUCCACAUACAUCCACUCAAUUCCAUCUCCAGAUUCACCCAAAAUUAUUCUACUCCUAUCCAGGAGAGAAUAGCCAAAAAUAUUUUCCUUCCCUAUUAUUCCCUGUGAAAUAAAUGCUCGAGUUAUCUUGGUUACUACCACUUGCUAUAUUAUUUCAGGAGAUGAGUGCUCUAAAAAAAAGAAAAAAAGAAAAAAAUACGAGGAAAUAAAAAGGGGCAAGUUUCCGGAACCUCGAAGAAAAGAAAAAGUGAGACAAGAGGUAAAAAUGGACAAGUGUGUGACAGUAGAAUUAGGGGUACAAGAUACCCACCUGAGAGAAAAGAAAAAGAAUAUAUAGAGCAUCUCAUUCUCCUCAAAAAGCUUCGAAGUGCAAGAAAGGUAUGUAUCCCCUUAAAAGAGCAAAAGUAGAAUUAGACUUUCACCACUGUUAUCACCAUCAUCACCAUACACCAUUCAUUCGCCACACAUGCAGAUCUUGAUUUGACUUAUUGACUUGUUUCUCUGGAUCCAUGGUUUGACUAUGCAAUAAAUGUCUUGUAAGUAUGUAUUAUCUGUCUCCCACCUAUGAGCUCCAGAUAUCAAAACCUUAUUAGAGUAGGGUGAGAGAGAAGGCAAUAUCACUAUGCCUCAUACCAAAAAUACCAUAUACUUUGAGAGAAGGCAUAUACCAUUACUGCCUUGUAAAGGAUCCAGAAAUUCCAUAAAAAAGAAAUUUGAGAGAGUCAUACAAGGAAUCUCUGAGUUUUAUUUGAAAAUCUGCAAAAACUCCAGAGCUAUAGCUGAUCAAGAAUAAGAGACAUGGCGCUUGACUUGACCGUUCUAUCUUUUAACAGCUCAAGACACAAGUGACGGUUACAAGCCCCAUGGUGAAAGGUAAAAUGAGUAAGUUUUAAGUCUUACUUUUAAGGCAUGAAACCACUGCAGAAACUCUUAAGUUCAUCCUUGCUCAGGGACGAGCAAGAGGUAAGCUUGGGGGAGUUGUUGACGGUCCUUAAGUACCAAAUAUAAUCAUCAAAUAAAUAAAGAAAAGGAUCCAAAUGCAACCAACACCCAGACUUAGGGUUGUCGGUUACCAGAUUAGGAGCAUUAAUUGCGGAGAAGACAUCAUUACUGCAGAGAAUUUCGGAGCAUUAAUAGUUUUAUACUCCGAAACUGGGGGGCAUGUGUUGACACCAUUUUUGGGCACGUGUCCAGGAUGGCAGGACAGGGUGGCAGUACGAUGCGGGUUGCUGGUAAGGAUGGUUGCCGAUGAGGGAAAGGUUGAAUGUGACUAAGUCCUCAGACAGUAAUAUGGUGCCGAUGUCCAAGUAAAAGGGUCUGCCGAUGACUAUGGCAAGGGGAUUGCCGAUGACGCGAAGGAGGAGUCCGGAAGCUGCCAGUUGUCAUGUGGAGGAGUUUCGGUUUGUCACGAAGGAUGGUUUUAUUAUUUCCUUAUGUUAUUCGUAUCGUUUUGUAUACGGGUUCCGUGUGAUUUGGAAUUCGAAUUCUAAUCGUGUCUGGUCGUAGCUCUUUGAGCAGGGUAUAAAUAUAAGCCCUAAGACCUUGUAAUCAGAAUAUCUAUCAAUCAAUCAAACACACGUUUUUUUUACUCAUAUUCCAGCAUCUACUUUUCGACGACUUUGUCAUACGUUUUCUUUUUGUUACGAGUUCUUAGGAAUUCGUCGACUCAAGCUCGGCGUAUCCUCAAGUUCCGCGUGAGUACCUCUUAGCCGUGACAUCCGGGCGUAUCGCUGUUGUCAGGACUAAAGUAUUCGAGUUAUCACCUUUACCGAUAGUAAGGUCAAAUCGGCUGGCACGCCUUAACGUUUGGAUCGGGUAUUAGCCCUUUGUGUUUGCAGACUAGUUUUUGCAUCAACACAUCUUCUGGCACGCUCGGUGGGACCGAUUCAAGAUCAAGAUCAACAUGUCGAUCUCUGACCUCGAUCAAGACAACGUCAUCCCCGUGACGGAAGCUAACCUCAAGGAUGAGCAGAAGCAAGCUAUUGCCCAAGCCAUGGAAGAGUUCAAGCAGCAGUGCCUGAAGUCUUUCAGCAUAAACAGGAGCGGCGAAGUGGUCCAGAAAGAUGCACUGCCGGCACCACGGCAGGUCACCUUUGAUGCUAAUCCUGGCAAGCUUCAAGACAUGGUUGACAAUGCCAUCAAUCGAGCGCUGAUCAACCAAGCUGGUGUACUGUCUAAUACGGUUUUCAACGCCGUGGCAAGAACCUUCAAGGAAGGACAAAUCCCGCCGGAUUAUGUGGGCCCUUCCCAUCAUCAACCCACGGCACCAGAGGUCACGGCUCCAUCGGCUGCCUUGACGAGUGCAAGUGCACAGUCUGCCGUCCCUCCAAGUACAUUGGGGACUACUGGUGCACUAUCUAUGCCGAUGGUAACCAACCCACAAAUUUCAGUUGGGCAGCAUAAACUGACAACAGAUAUGUUGGCAUCGGCAAUGUCGGGGUUAACUCUUCCUCCCAACUGGUGGGGUUAUGGUAUGCCUCCAGAGUUGACUCCAGGAACAUCACAGAUAACUGACAUGAGGGGCAAAACUCCUAUGACAUCGGUACCUUCCAAUGUGCCGGUGAACCAGAGUCCUCGGUAUACCACAACUACUACCGCAAGGCCUCACACUGGAAAUCCUCAAGAUCUAAUGUUCCAGAUGCCCAACGCAUCGGCAGAGUCAAUGCUGAUGCAACAGAGGCCUAUGGCCCAGUCGGGGUAUGUCAAUUCAACGACGAUACCCAAUUACCAACCAUCGGCAGCACCUAUGCCGAUGAACGCUAAUAAUGGAUGGCUUGGACAGCAAACCUUUCCACAGUCGCCCCAGCAGGGUUAUCAGACUACGGGGUUCCAGCAAGGGCAGGUUUAUCCCGGGUUCCAAGGUCAGGGAAUUCCCAACCAGCCAAUAAAUUUUGGACAGCAACUCGGAGGACAGCCAAUCGGUGGACAGCAGUUUGGUAGUCCGCAGAUUGGAGGACAGGUGACCAAUACGAUGUUCCAUACAGGUCACGUCCCGAACAGACACGUGGAGGUUCGCCACCAAAUGCCAGAUCCGCAGCCGCCUCAUCGGCAAGAUGCCGAUGCGUAUUGGGCCGAUAAGAUUGCCGAAGUAAUGAGGGAACAAUUUGGGAUAAAACCCAAAGUCAACACUUAUUCUUAUCGGACACCGUAUCCUCCAGCGUAUGAUUUGAUCCCGCUUCCACAUCGGUACAAAGUACCGGAUUUUACAAAGUUUUCCGGACAGGACGACACGUCAACCAUGGAGCAUGUCAAGAGGUUCAUUAUUCAAUGUGGAGAGGCUGGUAACAGGGACGAAUUGAGGGUUCGCCUAUUUUCAUCAUCAUUGUCUGGAUCGGCCUUUACUUGGUUCAUAUCAUUGCCUCCCAAUUCAGUAAUUACUUGGGCCGAUCUAGAGAAGCAAUUCCACAGAUACUUCUUCUCGGGGGUUCAUGAGAAGAAGAUCACCGACUUGGUCAAGUUGAGGCAACGUAAUGAUGAGUCGGUUGAGGGAUUUGUGCAGAGGAUACGAGAGGUCAAAAAUAAAUGCUAUAGCCUGGUUCUGGAUGAUCGGCAGCUAGCCGAUUUGGCUUUCCAGGGUUUGUUGCCACACAUCAGGGAUAAAUAUGCUUCUCAGGAGUUUGAAAGUUUAAGUCACUUGGUGCAGAGGAUAUCUGAUCAAGACAUCAAGCCUUUCGAGCCUAAGAGGGCAUGGAAUAAGAAAGUCUCAUUUGUUGAUGAAGCAACAAGCUCAGAUUCCGAUGAAGAACCAGUAAUCGGUUUGGCAGAAUGGGUAAAAAACAAGAAGCUGAUGUCUUGUCCUUUUGGGCAGAAGGAACCAGAGAAGUUUGCAUUUGACACCGCCAAGGCCGAUAGGAUAUUUGACUUUCUACUUCAGGAAGGUCAAAUCAAAUUGUCACCUAACCACAUGAUCCCGUCGGCAGAAGAGUUGAAGAGGAUGAGGUACUGCAAGUGGCAUAAUGCAACUUCACAUGAUACCAAUGAGUGCAAAGUAUUCAGACAACAGCUGCAAUCGGCCAUAGAGUCAGGGAGAAUCAAGUUUGAUAGUUCCAAAGCCCAGAAGCCGAUGAAGAUAGACCAACAUCCUUUCCCGACGAACAUGUUGGAUGCUAAGGGGAAGGCUAAGGUCUUAACGUCGGAGACAGCUGAGAAGAGUGCAUCGGUAGAUCCUCAGCAUCAAGUUACUACCGCCGAUGCAAGAAGUAAGGGCUUGGUCCAGGAAGGAGCUAGCUCAGGAAGAAUUCCUCGAUCUGGUAUUGUCAUAACUCAUAGAAGGCCUCGAGAGAGAUGGCAACAACGGGAAGAUCGGUACCGGCGCCAGCAGGAAGAUUAUCAACGGGAAGAAGAGAGACGCCGACAGGAGUGGAAUCGGCACAGGGAUCAUUGGAAUUGCCCAUUCUUCAUCCAUUGUUGGGAGGAAAAUAUCAAGCUUCCUACUGUCAGAGACUGCCCUGAAUGCAACGGUUAUGAUCGGUACGACAGGAACGAUCGGCGUUAUCAUGAUGAUGAACGACGAUUUAAUGGGCCGAUCAGAGGAAGGGCGUCAGUUCAUGAUCGGCUGGGGGGCAGGCUUAGCGUUCACGAUCGGCUCGGUGACCGUGUCCAGUAUUUUCCCAGGAACCAAGAGGAGCUUGAAAGAAUGGCUGAUGCGCGGGUUCCCGAUGAAUUCAUAUUUUGCAGGGAUACUAACACGCAUCGCAUGGAGUCAAGAGAGAACCAACGCCCGACGGCAAGACAAAGGCCACUUCCUCCAUGGUGCCCUCAAGGAUUAACCAAGACACAGAAAAGGAGAUUGCAACGUGAAAGGCAGGAAGAGCUAAAUAAAGGAGAGAACUCUGGGAGUCGGCAGCCGUCAGACGCUAAGAAAGAAGGUCCAUCGGCAGGCGUCAACAUGGUAUUCAUGUUGCCGAUGGAGUUUCUUGCACCGGCCAGUGACGAUGAGUUGGGAUUUUCUGAUCAGAUAGCUCAGUUGGCUCUGGAUCCAAUGACGGCUAUCUUUGAGAAACCUGCCGAUAACGAGAGGCAGCAUCUUAAAGCUUUGUUCCUCAAAGGAAGGGUUGAUGGGCAGCCAAUGACUAAGAUCCUAGUUGAUGGUGGGGCUGCUAUUAAUAUUAUGCCAUAUGCAGUAUAUCGGAAGCUUGGGAAAGGGGAUCAAGAUUUGACCAAGACCGAUAUGAUGCUCAAAGACUUCGAGGGAAACGUGUCUCCGGUCAAGGGGGCGAUAUGUGCGGAGUUAACCAUCGGCAGCAAAACCUUGCCGACAACCUUUUUCGUGAUCAGCGGAAAAGGUGCCUACAAUUUAUUAUUGGGGAGAGAUUGGAUUCAUGCCAAUUGUUGUGUCCCAUCUACAAUGCAUCAGUGCUUGGUUCAGUGGGUAGGUGACAAGAUUGAGAUCGUCCCAGGGGAUUCUUCUUAUGUUAUCGCAUCGGCAGAAGCGGAUACUUAUGAAAAGACUAGGUGCAUUUCAGGAGAAGUUUGGGAGAAAGAUUUUCUCAAAGUUGCCGAUUAUGAGAUUCCACCGAUCCAAGCAGUCGGUUCUGACGAUGGUUUUUAAUGGAUAGAUUCGCCGAUGAUGGAAAAUUAGGCCAGGGAUUCACAUCGACCGAUGAUUUGGUAGAAGUAGAUAUAGGUAGUGGUGAUAGGCCUAGGCCUACUUUUAUUAGCGCCAAACUAGAUCCUGAGUGUAAACGGCAAUUAACUAGUUUGUUAAAGGAAUAUAAAGAUUGCUUUGCUUGGGAUUAUACAGAGAUGCCUGGUUUAGACCGAUCAAUUGUUGAACAUCGGUUACCCAUUAAGUCUGGAUUUCGGCCACAUCAGCAACUAGCCCGCCGAUGUAAUCCUAACAUUCUACCUGAUAUUAAGGCCGAAAUCACUAAACUUAUUGAAGCUAAGUUUAUUCGGCAGUGUCGGUAUGCUGAAUGGAUUUCCAAUGUCGUCCCGGUUUACAAGAAGAACGGGAAGCUUCGGGUGUGCAUUGAUUUUAGGAAUCUCAAUAAAGCUACGCCGAUGGAUGGAUAUCCAAUGCCUGUUGCCGAUCUACUGGUUGAUGCUGCGGCUGGCCAUCAGGUCAUCAGCUUCAUGGAUGGUAAUGCGGGUUACAAUCAAAUAUUCAUGGCAGAAGAGGAUAUUCCAAAAACCGCAUUCAGGUGUCCUGGUCAUGUUGGACUAUUUGAAUGGAUAGUCAUGACUUUUGGGUUAAGGAAUGCCGGUGCUACUUAUCAAAGGGCUAUGAAUUUUAUAUUUCAUGAGUUCAUCGGCAAGAUCGUAGAAAUUUAUAUUGAUGAUGUGGUGGUCAAGUCUGGAGAUUUCUCAAAGCAUCUUGCCGAUUUACGAAGAGUGUUGGAGUGCACAAGGAAGCAUGGAUUGAAGAUGAAUCCCAACAAGUGUGCAUUUGGUGUAUCGGCAGGGCAGUUUCUUGGUUUCAUGGUACAUCAGAGGGGUAUUGAAAUUAGUCGAAGAUCUAUUGAUGCUAUCAAUAAAAUAGUGGCCCCUACCAAUAAAACCGAGCUCCAAUCUUUGAUCGGAAAAGUGAAUUUUAUCAGAAGAUUUAUAUCGAAUUUAUCUGGGAGAAUUCGUGCUUUCAGUCCUCUUCUUAAAUUGAAAGCCGAUCAGGAGUUUGUUUGGGGAAAAGAACAGCAGUUGGCUCUAGAUGAAAUCAAAAGGUAUCUAGUAAACCCUCCAGUUUUAGUUCCACCUCAACAAGGGAAACCCUUCAAAUUAUAUUUAUCUACCGAUGGAUCGGUUAUCGGUUCAGCUUUAGUUCAAGAAUUUGAAGGGAAAGAGAGGGUAAUUUAUUAUUUGAGUAGGAGGUUAAUUGAUGCUGAAACCAGGUAUUCGGCCAUUGAGAAGCUGUGCUUAUGCUUAUAUUUUUCAUGUAUCAAGCUAAGACAUUACCUGUUGUCGGCCGAAUGUGCUGUUGUUUGCAAAGAUGACGUGGUCCGAUACAUGCUAUCUAUGCCGAUUAUGAGUGGUAGAAUCGGUAAAUGGAUUUUGGCGCUGUCGGAGUUCGAUUUGCGUUACGAAUCGGCUAAGGCGGUCAAAGGGCAGGUUAUGGCCGACUUUGUGACUCAGCAUUGCAGUCUAGUGGAAACCUUGGAAAUUGCACCCUGGACGCUUUUCUUUGAUGGAUCUACCUGUGACCGGGGAGCAGGAAUCAGCAUUGUAUUAGUUUCUCCCAAGGGGAGGAAGUAUGAAUUUUCCUUGCCGAUUGUUGCUACAUCAACAAAUAAUCAGGCUGAGUAUCAAGCUCUGAUCAGGGGAUUGGAGUUGUUAAGAGAAGUUCGUGCUGAUGCUGUUGAAGUAUUCGGAGAUUCUAUGUUGGUUAUAAAUCAAUUGACCGGAAGCUAUGAAUGCCGGAGUGAAGUUCUCAUAACCUAUUUCGAGAGAAGUAUACAACUGUUAAAGGAAUUCAAGAACUUCCGAUUGGAGCAUAUUCCCCGAUUGCAUAAUGAAGACGCUAAUCGGUUAGCCCAGCAUGCCUCGGGAUAUCAGCCAAUGAUUAAUGCGACAUCGGUAGUCAGUGCCGGUGAUUGGAGGGAAGAAAUUAUUGAUUAUCUAAAAGAUCCAUCCAAAAAGGUUGAAAGACGGGUUUGAUUUCAAGCAACCAAGUAUGUGCUCCUUGAAAAUGAAUUGUAUUAUCGAACUAUCGACGGAAUUCUUCUCCGAUGCUUGGGUGAUGAUGAAGCCAGAAGUUUGAUGGGAGAAAUCCAUGAAGGAGUGUGUGGAGCGCAUCAGUCAGCUUUUAAGAUGAAGUGGAUGAUUCGAAGGAAUGGAUAUUUUUGGCCAACCAUACUUGAAGAUUGUUUUAAAUAUUUCAAGGGAUGUCAAGGUUGUCAAAAGUUCGGUAAUAUCCAGAGAGCACCCGCAUCGGCUAUGAAUCCUAUAAUAAAACCUUGGCCGUUCCGGGGGUGGGCCAUCGAUCUGAUCGGCCAGAUUUAUCCACCAUCUAGCAAAGGGCAUAAAUUCAUUCUAGUUGCCACUGACUAUUUCACCAAGUGGGUCGAAGCUAUUCCUUUGAAGAAAGUCACAUCGGCCAAUAUGAUUGAUUUUGUGAAGGAGCAUAUUAUUUACCGAUUUGGGAUUCCCCAAACGAUUACUACCGAUCAGGGCACCAUGUUCACGUCGGGGGAGUUCGAUGAAUUCGCAAUCGGUAUGGGAAUUAAAGUGUUGAAUUCUUCUCCUUACUAUGCUCAAGCCAAUGGGCAGGCCGAAGCGUCUAACAAGGGAAUUAUCAAGCUUAUUAAACGAAAGAUUGAAGAAAAUCCUAGGCGGUGGCAUACAUUGUUGAAUGAAGCACUAUGGUCUUAUCGGAUGGCUUGUCAUGGAUCAACCAAGGUGUCACCUUAUCAAUUGGUGUAUGGACAUGAUGCAGUUUUGCCUUGGGAGAUUAAGGCUGGAUCUAGGCGAUUAUCUUUUCAAGAUCAAUUGGCUGCCGAUGAUUAUGCCACUUUAAUGACCGAUGAGUUAGAUGAUUUAGCAGGGCAUCGGUUAAAGGCUUUAAUGAGUAUAGAAGAAAAUAAGAAGAGAGUUGCCAGAUGGUAUGAUAAAAAAGUGAAGGCCAAGGAGUUUGCCGAUGGGGAUUUGGUAUGGAAGUUGAUUUUGCCAGUCGGGACUAAAAGUUCAAAGUUUGGGAAGUGGUCUCCUAAUUGGGAAGGUCCUUAUCGGAUAAAACGCUCAGCUCCUGGUAAUGCCUAUAUUCUAGAAACUCUCGAAGGAGUUGAAUUUCCCAGAGCGUUAAAUGGCAAAUAUUUGAAGAAGUACUACCCCAGCAUAUGGAUCGAUGCAUAAAAGGUUAAGUGCCGAUAACACUCCUAUCGGCUGAAUUUAAAUGUUCAAGGGCAGACUUAAUGUUUCAAAAGAUGCCGAUAACAGUCUUAUCGGCUAGACUAAAAGCUAAAAGCGGAGAAACAAAGGUGUGUCGCCGAUGAAAGCUUCAGAUGUUCAGCAGCGCUUGGAUUGCGGAUAUGGCGCGCAGCCGAAUCUGGUUGGCUGUCUCUAUCUCUUUGAUAUCGUCAUCGGCAGAACCUUCAAUCGGCUUCAGCUUCCUCUUCAGUUGCAGCGCUUUACGACCAUGGACGUUUCGUUCCUGUUCAAGAUGCUUGAUGGUCUCCGGCAGUUGACUAUCUUCUUGCUGGGCUUGGGACAGGGCGUCUUCUACUUGCUUGAGUUCAGCCAGCAGAGCUUCUCUUUUUGCCGCUAGAUCAGACAUUUUCUGCUUCAGUGCAUCACCUGAGGACUUUAAGAUGCCGAUGUUCUUAUGUUUCUCAUCGGCUAAGAGUUUUUGUUUCAUCAUCUCCUCAGAGAGCUGGAUUUGAGCAGCUCUGUCGGCAAGGCGUCGAGUAGCUCUCUGGUACUGUAGCUGGCGGCUUUCUAGAUGUGCAGCGUGGAAUAGUGCUUCUUCGGCAUCGGCAGGAAUUUGGCCUCUAAGAGUCUUGAACAGGGCCUUGGCUGGGUCAGAAUCGUCGACCAGUUGAGUUGUGUCUUGAUGAAGUAUGGCCGAUAGCUCCUCCAGCCUAGCUCUGGUUUCUGCCGAUACAAUUCCAACUGCCCGAGAGGAGCUUGCUUCCUCGCCUUCUUCUUCGAAGAUAUCAAUAGCGAAGGAGAACAAGCUGUCGGGAGAAUCUUGUUCCUGAAAAUGAAAAUGAAAUAGGUCAAUUUUGUGGUCAAAACUUCGGCAGAUGAUACCGAUGGAAAAGUGGAUGACUUACUUGCUUCAAGGCGAUUUCCUGCCUUUGACUCAGAGAGGCCGAUGGAGCUGCAGGUUGAUCGGCAAAUGUUGCCGAUAGAACGAUAUCGCCUGAAAGAAGACAGGAAGGAUUAUAAGAAUAAAUGAAAAUAAGUUUAUCGGUAGGAGUAUUGUUGGGAUAUGUUACCCGGAAGAGGAACAACAGUUGUUUGAAUUGAGGAAACCGCCGAUGAUAUAACUGGACCUGCCGGGCCAGUUGUUUGUUCACCUACGUCAGCUGACGUACCUGCCGUUUGAGGUUCUUCUUGCUGAGGUUCUUCCAUCUGUGGUGCUUCCUGUAUUGAUUGAGGAGAUGGUGCUUGCUGUGCCUGGACUUCUGGAGGAGAAGGGGAAGAUUCCACCGGGAUUGGAGACACCGGAGGAGGAGGAGGAGUUGCCACUUUCUGACACUUUGUUCCAGUCUUAGCACCUUGGACGCCUUUCCUCUUUGGCUGGCUAGACUGGGGGGAUCGGCACCUUGGCGUUUGGCUUUUGCCGAUGCACCAGUUUGCUGCAACAACGAUAAAGAGUUUAUGAGCACAGAUAACCGAUAUAAAGAUAGUCAGCAUAAAUAAAAAGGGGUUUUAACAGAUUGCCUUGAAAGCUUGCGCCAGAGUGGAAGCAGUUACCGUUGGUGAUGUCUGAGUUUUCUUGGUGGUAACUUUCUUGAGACGCGCACCCCGGUGCACGAUGGAAGCCAGAGUGGGAGCAUUGUGGCCGAUUGAGGAGAUCGGGCCUGAUGGGAAUAAGUCGAUCGGCUUGCCACUCCUGCUAACCGAUGGGGGGGUGUUGUCAAUCUGCAAAAAGAAUACAGGGGUAAGUUACCGAUGGGAAUAGUAUUGGAAAAUGAGACAUCGGUUUAAAAUACUUACAGUGUCGUCAGGGACUUCGUAUUCGGGGUCGAUCAUGCCGCGGUAUGAGAGGGCCGAUCUGCAGAAUAGAUUCUCCUUCCAUUCUGCCCACCAUAGCUUGUAUGCUUGAGUGAUAAAGGCAGCUGGAACCCAUUCUGACAGAUCUACAUCUGUAUCGGCAUUUGGUGGUAGCUGGGCUACUCGAGUCCACUCGAGGAGGUUAGCGAUGGGUUCUCUGGGCUUUAUUACAUCGGCAUAAGGAAGUGCGAUCGGCAAUUGGCCGAAAGCUAGCUGGCGAGCUAAUGCCGAUGGAUUAUAAAAUUCAUAGGUUUGGGGAGAGGUUUUCGUGCUGCCGAAGAAGUUCACUGGUAUGGCUCUGGGAGUCACGAUUGCCAUCAUCACCUCAUUGUCCCUAUCAAGAGCUUCGUCGAACGGAUUGAAGGUCAGAGGGAGCAUGCUAUCUGGGUCGUCAUAAGCCAGCCAUGGUCGUUCAUCUCUGGCCAAACCCUCAUACAGCGUUUCGAAGAAUCGGCCGAUCUGAUCCGGAGUGUUCCCUGAACCGGGUAAAACUAUAACAGCUUCGCCAAAGUUCAGGGGGGCACGUGUUGCCGAUUCCUCUUCACCCAACACAUGGUUCUCGGCUAUAUCUCUUGGGAAGUGCUGAGAGAACAAGUUGAGAUCGAGGCGCUUGUGCAGGUGCAGAUUGAGCCACAUAUUAAUAAACCACCAAGGACCUCCCAAGUUGCCGAUAGGUUGGCCGAGCAGGAGUUUCUGGACUACUUGAUGAAGAAGGUGAUAAACAGCGCCGAGCAAAUAACGGCCGAGAGGAAAUUGACCACCGCUAGCCAGUCUUUCUGCUGCCGAUAGAUAGACAGAAGUCGGUCCUGCCGAUCGACCACAGAAUACAAACUUGUCUAGCCACAUGUUCAGAAAAGUGGUUUGUUCCUUUAUGGUGACAGGCCCUCUCCCGCGGUACUUCUGGAUGUACCCUGACCAGCCGCCGAUAGCGCGAGUCUCCACUUUGGCACUAGGGGCGGUAUCAAAAAAGUGGGUGCUAUCGGCAGAAGAUAUGUCUAACCCAGUAAGCAUGGCUACAUCGGCAAGGGUAGGAGAAGCAGGGCCGUGGCCAAAAACAAAAGCGUUGAGAGUGUCUGACCAAAAGUAAGAUGCGGCUAUCAGCAAUGACUCGUUCCUGUGCAUAUCGGCAAUGGACAGCCUAAUGCAUUGAGCUAAUUUCCUCUCACCCCAUUGAACUUCAUAAGAGUUGCUGACCCUCAAGAACCAGUCUUUCCACCCUACAGUAGGGCUAGGCCAAGAGCGAAAGGUGUCCUUCCAUAGAUCUAGAGCAAAGUUUUCAGCUCUAAAGGGAAUCCUGUUGGUUUCUGCGUUGAUAAGGUCGGUUGGAUCUGGAUCCCCUAGAGGGCCGAGGCAUUGAAGAUGUGGUUGAUCGGUAGGAAUGACAAUUUUAUUGGAUAACUCCUGGUGUUUUGGGGAAUAAAGAUACAAAGAAAAAGGAGAAGGAAAAUAUUCGGUAAGGUAAAUCGCAGAUGAACAGGAAUGCAGGAAAAAGGUACAGCAGAUGAGAUGGAAGUCUGACCUCAGGGACGACGAAGCCAACGGCCAUCUUGUCGUGAAGGGGACGCUGGAAGACGCCGGAGUUGAUGAAGAAGAAUGCUUGUCCGAGAUCUUGAGGAUUGAGAAUGGCGCCGCCGCUGGAAAAGUGAAGUUGGAUGGCAGAAUGAUGUAAUGGGGGAGGAGUACCCAAGAAGGAACUAUUUAUAGGGCAAGAUGGACAAGGGCAAAUCUGACUUAUUUCUUUGCCGCAUCCGAGAAACCCGAGGGUACUCAAGUGGAUAUGGUAACUGUUCGCACGAUAAUCCAGGGAUUGUGCAGGUGAUUUGACAGGAAGCGGUCAUUAUCUAAAGAUAUUUUACUGUGCGCGAUCUCCUGGUCGGUCCAUCGGUGAUAUUCUAUAACGGUCGUCCUGCCGAUGGGCGGAUAGAGGGGAAGUAACCGUUUUUGCGAAUAUCCUGGGCAGAGCAUCGGCUUGUAACGGUAUUGUUGCCGAUGUACGACUAAGAGAGAUGCCCGUUUGGGAAGUUGUGGAUUUCGAGGGAUCUGCGGAGGAUUAGGAUCAGAGUUGCCCAGAUUGAGGUUGUCGGUUACCAGAUUAGGAGCAUUAAUUGCGGAGAAGACAUCAUUACUACAGAGAAUUUCGGAGCAUUAAUAGUUUUAUACUCCGAAACUGGGGGGCAUGUGUUGACACCAUUUUUGGGCACGUGUCCAGGAUGGCAGGACAGGGUGGCAGUACGAUGCGGGUUGCUGGUAAGGAUGGUUGCCGAUGAGGGAAAGGAUGAAUGUGACUAAGUCCUCAGACAGUAAUAUGGUGCCGAUGACCAAGUAAAAGGGUCUGCCGAUGACUAUGGCAAGGGGAUUGCCGAUGACGCGAAGGAGGAGUCCGGAAGCUGCCAGUUGUCAUGUGGAGGAGUUUCGGUUUGUCACGAAGGAUGGUUUUAUUAUUUCCUUAUGUUAUUCGUAUCAUUUUGUAUACGGGUUCCGUGUAAUUUGGAAUUCGAAUUCUAAUCGUGUCUGGUCGUAGCUCUUUGAGCAGGGUAUAAAUAUAAGCCCUAAGACCUUGUAAUCAGAAUAUCUAUCAAUCAAUCAAACACACGUUUUUUUUGCUCAUAUUCCAGCAUUUACUUUUCGACGACUUUGUCAUACGUUUUCUUUUUGUUACGAGUUCUUAGGAAUUCGUCGACUCAAGCUCGGCGUAUCCUCAAGUUCCGUGUGAGUACCUCUUAGCCGUGACAUCCGGGCGUAUCGCUGUUGUCAGGACUAAAGUAUUCGAGUUAUCACCUUUGCCGAUAGUAAGGUCAAAUCGGCUGGCACGCCUUAACGUUUGGAUCGGGUAUUAGCCCUUUGUGUUUGCAGACUAGUUUUUGCAUCAACAGAUACUUGAUCCAUUGCUUUCAUCAAGAAGAGUAUUCCAACUCAUAUUAAGGAAUCUAAUUGAGUUACCAUAAGAAUUUGGAUAAUAAUAUGUCAUGAAGGAGCUAACUCACUGCUGUCACUUUCAGGGACAGCCAAAAUAUGGAGGUAGCAAAUCAGCACUGAAUUGAUUCUUGAGAGCUCAAUUUGAUUAGGAUAGGAACCAAACUAGCUCUUGAUACUUAAACAAAGUUUGUUCUACAGAAGCAAUACUACAACUUUCAUUUAGGGUCAAACCUCAUAACUGCAACAGAAGUCAAUCUUUCACUUUGGUCAAAGCAGUAACCCGAUAAAGCUCCAAAUAGGAUUUUAGGCCAAUUGAAGCAUUUUCUUGACAUAAGCUCAACAUGAACCCUUCAUGACUUUUAUUGUAUAAUUCAUCUAGAGUCAUAUGAACAUGUUUUCAAGGGUUGUUUGAUGACCCAUGAUUCUAUUUCCUUAAUAGAGCCAUUCCGGCAAGGAUAUAACUUAUCAUUUCAUGUGACUUCUUGAUUCCAAACUUCACCAAACUUUUCCAUAGACCAACAUAGAUUGGGAUGGAUAUAAGGCACAUGGAAAAGGUUCCAUUAGCAUCAUCAAAGCAUACCUUUUAAAAAGGCAUAUAUGCAAGCAAGGUUGCAUCCACCAAGCCCAAGUUGGGGUUUACUUUCAUAGAUUGACUUUGACCUCUUUAUUACCAUUGAACUUGUCAUGUUUGAGCUCAAACCUAGUACUUAGCAAGUGACAAACACCUAGGGUGUUACAGCCUUCCCCCCUUAAAAGAAUCUCGUCCCGAGAUUCGGUGCAAAAGACUUUCCAGGGAAGAAAACAAUGUCAUCCAUCUCCCAAUAUCAGCGAUAACAUUGGGAUAUUUUGCUUGGAACACCAAAGAAGCAAACUUGGUCCAAACAUUUUAUGAUACUUGCCCUUCAUAGUAAACCUUUAUUUGAAGAAUCUCCCUUUUUGUUUGAGUUUAAUGAAGCAUUGUUACUUUGGGAGGAAUCCAAGACAAACUGUUCCAUGUACUUUGUUUUUGGUUGUUUAGAGCCUAAGGAGCUACUUGUACCAGUAGCUUCUUUAGUGAAACUAAUGCAAGCCAUAUGAACUUCACACCAGGUCACAAGCUUCUAAGGGUUGCGCAUUAUAGUGAUUCCAGGCUCAUUCACAAGAUUGAAAAGCAGUCCUCUACCAAAAUGGUGNNNNNNNNNNNNNNNNNNNNNNNNNNNNNNNNNNNNNNNNNNNNNNNNNNNNNNNNNNNNNNNNNNNNNNNNNNNNNNNNNNNNNNNNNNNNNNNNNNNNUGACAUUUCCGAGUUACUUUGAAUCCCACAUCUUGUGAGCAGGACGGGUAGGGUUUAUAGGUGUGGGUCGAACAUCCUUUGUGGUGUCUAGAUUCUGUAAGCUUCCCCAAUAGAACAGUAGAUCAUCCUUACCAAGGUUAGAACGAGACUACGGUUGCAGUCUUCUCUAUACAUCGCUCACAUCGAGAAACAUUCUUUGUAGCCUAAAGGGUAGUAGCAAUAGAUUUGGUUAGUUAGAUGCACGCUUUCUCCUAGUGGUAAAAAUAUAAAUACGAUACUCUGAAAUACCUCUCGGGUGAAAUGCUCACCGAUAUCUAUGCGCUUGCGGAUCAUUUCCUUAUUGUGUUACCAAAUAUCAACAAUGACUGAUGUAUAAUUUGAAAAACUUCAAACCUAUUUGGAUCCAAUAAUAUAAAAUUAUCUAUUUUCAGUCCUAGUGCUUUAGCUUUACCUUACCCUUAUCUGUAGGCUUUACUAGAAUUUUUGAGGUCAUGUGGAGGAGCAACAUAAAGUAUAGCCCUAUGUUGUAAAAUUUUAAGUGUUAUAGUUAUGAAUUUCUAUUGCGAAUUGUAAGUACGUGCAUGCAUCAUGAUAUGUCACUUGGUUAAUUACCUUCCUCUUUAUUCAGGUUGGGUUGUAUAGGAUCAAUCCCAUUCUUGCUAACCUUUAAGGUCUCCCUUUCUAAUCCAAACUUACCCUCUACAGGAUGGGUCGUUGGAAUCAAAUUCCUCGCAUGAGAACCGGUCCCAAGAGGGUACCUCGACACUAGUUGGCCCCAAGAAAUGAUCAAGCUCGUAGUAGCCGCUCCCAAUCUCAGCAGGAGAUGGAGAGGUUGUCAGCGGAGUUGGCCGAAGUAACUAGGGAGAGAAUGUAUAACGUUAUGGAGAUUGGUGAACUCAAAGCUCAGUUAACAAAUCAAAGACAAGCGACAGAGAAUUGCGAGGCGAUGCUAACCCGCAUGGUGGAAGAACGAAAUGCAGCCAUUGCCCGGGAAGAGGAGGCCAAAAGCAGAUAUAUGCAUGAGUUGACCCGAAUGAAGGCCAAGUUGACCAAAAGUAAGUACACUGAAAAUCUUUACAAGAAGAUGGCAGCCACUGUCACUGCAUAGAGGGACGUCGCAUGGCAACAGGAGGAUCAGCUGCAACUGGAGAAGCUCGAGUUGGCGCACCACCUGGACACCGCCGUCAGCGACAUGGCGAUGCAAUACCGGAAUAUUGCAUUCGACUUGUACCAUCAGCUUCAACCACCUCCAGAGGAAGGGGAGAUGGAUACUGAUGGAGAGCUUUUAGAUGGUGGAGAGCCCGACCAAGAACCCAGUAGGGAAGAGCAAUCCGACUCCGGCGACGACAACCCGGGGGACAACCAUGGCGAUAACGACGACGACCCGGGUUAUGGCUCUGACCACACCGACUAGUUCGGUGGAGUUGCGGGUGACGUCGUUAUAGAGUUCCUAGUCUACCGUAGUUGGGUUGGGUCUGUAGUGAAGUGUUUUUCUUUAAGUUAAAAGUUGUACUUGUUUGUUUUUGGUAUGCUAAACUGUUGUAUGAUAAAUAAGUUGAAGUAUGUAAAAUAUGUUUCUAAGUUAUGGGUUUCAAGUGGUAAUGAGUAUAUAUAACUCUUGUAGCAGAUGCCGAUGUGCACUCGUGGAUCUUCUCACGGAGGGGAGGACAUCCCCAACCCUCCACCUGCUCCGCCUUCCCUGGCGGAUGCAAUUGCUGUUCUUCUGAGCGCUACCAUAGACAAUGCUCCUCUAUUGCGCGAAUUAGCGCAGCGCCAACCUCAUCCUCUCCCAAACCCCCGAGCACAACACAACCCGGAGGGAGAAACUCGGUAUGUAGAUUUCACGGAGACAAGGCCACCCGUGUUUACAAAGGCAGAUGAGCCUUUGGAGGCUGAUGACUGGCUCCGGACAAUGGAGCAUAAAUUCAGCCUAAUCCGCUGUUCAGAGACUCAAAAGCCCCUCUUCGCCGCUCAACAUCUUCGGGGAGCUGCAGGGGCCUAGUGGGAAAAUUUCCUUGCUAUCCAGAAUCCAGGACACCAGGUCACCUGGGUAGAAUUCAUGGAUGCUUUUCGCACCCAUUAUAUUCCAGAAGGGCUUAUGGCAAUGAAAGCGAAAGAAUUCCUCGCCUUGCGACAAGGCGACAAAAGUGUGAUGGAAUACGUGGCCAAAUUCAAUCACCUUUCUCAGUAUGCCACGGAGCACGUGAAUACUGAUCGGAAGAACAAGGCCUGUUUUAUGCGUGGCCUCAAUACAAAGCUUCAAACAAUGAUGACCACAUGCCAGAAUGCCACUUACUACGAGGCUAUUAACAUUGCCAUCACCUCAGAGGAGAAGAACAGAAAACAUAAAGAAUCAAAGAAGAAGGCCACUUCUUCCUCUUUCUCUAGUCGCGGCCCAAAGCACCAGAGAAUCAUUUAUCACCCACAGGGCCACGGGCGCUUUCCGACGCAGUCACCUUUUCGUGGUUCCUUUCCUCCUCCACAGUAUAGACUCGGGCAGUAGGUCUAUCCUCGACCAACUGCCAUCACCAUAGCACCACGCCAGCCGAACGCCCCAGGUGUUCGUCCUACUGCUCUGCCAAACCACAAUUACCCUUGCUACAAUUGUGGUAAACCUAGGCAUUUCUCUAAAGAAUGCCCCUACCCUCGACAAAAUAACCCCACUUUCCAAAGGCCACCCAUCGGCCAACCCCAACUUAGCCAGUUUAAAAAUGGGGCUCAAAAAGGGCAGAAUGCACAAAGGGGUAAACCUGCAAAGAAGGUGGGACAAGUUUUUCAUACAGAGGUGGAAACAAUACCGGAAGGAGAGCCGUGUCGGUGUUUUGUCCCCGGGGGGUCACACCAACGAGUAAACUUGUAUGCGUGUUCCCUCUUCCAGAUGGUGAUGCAAGAAUGACACAAAGGUUUAUCCUAGUUCGGGCAAGAGAAGGCCCUACGUCCAGCGGGGGGAGGAGUGUUUUCUAUUAUCUUGCACCUAAGUGCUUCUACAGGGGUGAAUACAGGCAAGUGUUGCUGAGGAUUCUGAGUCCGGGAUGGCAGUGAUGUAUGGGAUGUUGUUCUACGUGGAGUGUUCUGUAUAUCUCUUCCUCAGCCUCCCCUUUUAUAGUUCCAAGGGGAGACCUAGGUUAGAUGGUGUAGGCAAUAGAAUAAGGCUCGAUAGGGGAAUGGUGCGCUGACCUACUCGAGGCCUCCGUACCGGCGUGGCCUCAAGCCGUCUUGUUACUGAGCACUUUGAUGAUGAUCGCGCAUGCUUCUGAAUUUGGCUCCUAUACAUCGCCUUGGAUUGGCUUAAGCAUGGGCACGCUUGUACGUCAUGGCAGUAGUCACAUCCAGGGUGGUUGAGGUGCUGUCUUUCAUCGCCUGACUCUUCCCUAGGAAGGAACAGGUUCGCUCGAGGGUCCGGCACUACGUGUGACUUUCUUGAGCGGUGCACUGACUUUGGGUGCCUCGAGGGACAUCGUGAUGUGACAUCCCGACUGUCUCACUGUGCUUGGUUGUACUCUUGCUUAUCUGGGGGAUAAAGCUGCAGAAAGUGGGAUUGGAUGGGUGCUUGCUCCCUAUCACGUUUCCCGUGACUGUCGGGUUAGGUGAGGACAUGGCAGGCGCAUUAAAUGCCCUGGCUUCCGUACCCCGACAGGCGGCGGGCGGCGCCUUUGCGCUCGAGGCCUAUCGAUUCGCCCGAGCCACUUCCGUAUUCGAUGGUUCGUUGUUUAGUCGAGCCUCUGUCAAUUCGCAUGACCUUAUUUCUGUGUUCAAGGCUAUGGUCGACAUCGAGCUUUGGUGAUCACGCGUGUAAGCGGGGGUGUCGGGUUAGGGCCUUGAUUUAUGUACGGCCCCUUUCGUUAUGGGCGUUGGUUGGGGUACCCCUUAUUGACACCCUCGAUAGUAGCCCCCGAGUCUCUACUCGAGCGCUUGCACUCGAGUAGAGGCUUUUCCGUUGGACGAGUUUCCGUGGGGUCACGCGAGCGACCCCCGCGGGGGUAGCCCCCGAGCCCUUGGAGGAGUCUUUGACUCCUUCGAGGGCUAUACUGCUUUUUCUAAUGGAAUUGUUCUCGAUCUCCCCUUCCUCCGAAAGACGUUUGUCAUGGAAGAGGGGCUUUGAGCCUUAGCCGGUCGGUUUUGCCUUUUCGAGGCUAGAGUCGUGACGUACUCCCGGUGGAGCGAGCGUCACCUACCCCAGGUCGAGUCCCUAUCGGGUAAUCCAAGUGAGAACCCGUGCCCCGUUCGAGGGGGUUAGCUGCAGCCCGAAGGCGUUCUCAUAAAAGCGGGGUUAGUGUGGUCGGGGUUACUGGUCUCGUUCGAUAGAGUCCAGUGGCUCGCUGCCUCCCUCCGUGGGGAUUCCUCUCGACCCUCUUGCCCCUGCCUUGGAUAUCCCCAGCGAGUUUUUGAGGCAGGCCUCGUUUUCGACCCCUCGUCGGGCAUCCCUUACUCUGGUACUCAACGGCGACCGUCGAACCCAUCCAGCGGGCCGGUCUGCGAUCCCUCGAGAAUUCUAUUGCAGUGCGUGCGUACCUUAUCUUAAAGGAGAAGGAAGAGCCAUGGCGGUUCGCUUUCUUGCCUGUUGGGCGCGCCUUUUUUGGCGGGAGCCGUUGCAGCAAUGUGCCAUUGUGGAACUCAUAGCGUCCUGUCAGUGAGAGUAACAAGACCGUUAGGCGACGCAUUUACUAGGGAGGUUACCGUAUUCUCCGGAUCUGCCCGUUGGGGGUUGGACGUCUAUAAAUAUCGUCGGGUCUCUCGGCUGCUACCCCUUCCGCUUUCCGCCAUUGUUCUUGCCUUUGCUCUCCUUGCCAUCUUAAUGCAUGCGCAUCCUCGAGCACAUAGCAGCAGAGCCACCUUUCUUCUUUUGUCAAGGUGUCAGUGAGGCUCGUCGCUCCCGAUGACUGGCGCCCGUCGUCAAUGACGGACCGCCGGUUGCUGUGUUGAUGGUCCUUAAGUAUCAAAUUUAAUUAUCAAAUAAACAAAGAAAAGGAUCCAAAUGCAAUCAACUUCUAGACUUAGGGUUUUAUCUGAUAGAAUUCCACGAGUUUUGGUGUUUGUCUAUUUCUACAGGGGGUUAUCAGGAAAUAUGGAAGAAAGGCCCACACGUCGCGAUUACAUAGAGAUAUCAACGUGUCGCGCAAUUAUCUUACAUCUAGAAGACUCCAGAAGCCACGAGAACGAAGCGGAGGCCGAACGGGGCUUGGCCUAGGGCGCUCGCCCUGAGGACCAGGGCGCCCGCCCCCCUUCAGAGUCCAAUCAGAACUCUCUUUCGGGAUCAAGCUCCACCGACCUAAAGGAUCAAGGGUAACCGUUCAAUCAAUGUCGGUUUGAUCCGACGGCCCAUAUUCACUUGGAGGGACUAUAAAACCAGACCCCCUAGCCCCUGGAGGAGAGAGCCUCUCAACCCUAAUUCAUUAUUCAUCGAGGGAGAAGAAGCCGCUGAUCAAGCCUAGAGCCACCACAUCAAUUAGACAUCUAGAUUAGCAUAGCUACAUAGGAUUAGAACUAGAAGGAGUCAAUCUUCGAUUGGUUUCCGGAUCUGUUAGGAGGAUUCUUGGUAAUUCUCUAAUUGUUCAUCUUUGUUCUUCAAUAUUAUGAAUAUGACUUUGUUCUACUUCAAUAUAUUGCUUAUGACUUUGCUGUACUUGUUUAUAUUCAAGAUUAUAUUGUUCUUAGUUUAUCAUGGUUAUAUACUUGGCUUAGUUAGAUUGGAAUUAUAUACAUGUUUAGGAUCGUAUAGAGUUUAUCCAUCGGACCCAUGGGUAAAUGAUAGAUAUUGUGUAGGCGUGGUGCUUAUACCGUAUUUAUCUGCGAUUGUACUGUUGGGUAUUUUAAACGCAAACAGAAAAAUCCGCAAGCGCACGGAUACCGAUGUAGCUUUCACCCAGGAGUAUUCCAGAGUAUCGAUUUUCGACAGAGAACGUGAGUGUACUAAUUAAGAUCCAAGAUCGCCCAAGGAUAACUAUAUAAUUAUUUUUGGUGGGAAGAGAGGAAGUUUCCUGAGAGUUCUCUAGUGGAUCUAAGAAUCAAGAAUUACUUCAAGAUUAUCUAUUUCGGGACAUCAGAGCACUAACCACAGAAAGAGAUGAGAAGGGGGCUAGGAAGGUCUGACUACGGUCCUACAAACACCGAUCCGAACGAGGUGGAAUACGUCGACCGUUAGGGCUGUCACUACCCUAGGGCUACCACAACAAUCCGCAGGAUUGGGUGCAAUUCAAGGUAAUUGCAAGACUAAACACCACUUCUAAUCUAUUAAUUACUACUCUAAUGUUGCAAAGAUUAGAGCACUUGAUGAAAGUGAGAAUCCAAUAAAUAACUUGAAUGUAAAUAAAAGUAAUUAAAGAACUCAAGAAUUAUGAAUUGAAGAACCUGGAGAACGAUGAAGAACGAACCAGUUGCUGCAAAAGUACAAUGUUGAGGAAGAUCCGACAGAUUCGGCUCCUCCUCCGCUCUCCUCUUCUCUCUCCGUAUUUUCUAGUUUACAACUAGAACGCACUAGAACUAGAACUAGAGGAACUAGAACUAGAAGAACUAGAACUAGAACUAGAUGAACUAGAGGUAUCCUCUCUACUUGGAUGAAGAAUUGAAACCCUAGCUUUGAUUCUGUAGAAGAGGUAUGAUCUCCAGGGGCCAGGGGGUCUGGUUUUAUGUCCCUUCAAGUGAAUAUGGGCUGUUGGAUCAAACCGAUAUUGAUUGAACGGUUAUCCUUGAUCCUUUAGGUCGGUGGAGCACGAUCCGCGAGUUUGGACGUGAUUGGGCAGAACUCCAGGGCGGGCGCCCAUAGGACUUGGGCGGGUGCCCUGUCCCUGAGCCCUCUCGGCUUUCCAUUCGUUCCCAUGGCUUCUGGAGUCUUCUAGAUGGUAGAAAAUUGCGCGGCACGUUAAUAUCUCUAUGUAAUCCCGAUGUGUGGGCCUUUCCUCCAUAUUUCCUUAUAACCCCCUGCAGAAAUAGACAAACACCAAAACUCGUGGAAUUCUAUCAGAUAAAACCCUAAUUCUGGGUGUUGGUUGCAUUUGGAUCCUUUUCCAUGAUUAGUUGAUGGUUAAAUGUGAGCAUUAAGGAUCGUCAACAAGCUCCCCCAAGAUUAACCUUUGCUCGUCCCUGAGCAAAGCUAAAAUCAACAAGAAAACAGGGGUUACUUUUAUGCCUCUUACUACAGGGUUUUUAAGUUAUCACUAAGGUCUUAAGUGAUUGAAAAACAGAACGAUCAAGUCAAGCACUGUGUCUCAAGUUCUUUUGUCUUACCUUUGUUCUGGAGUUUUUAUAAGUCUGCAAAAUAAAACUGAGGCAUUUGUCUUCUUCUCAAAAGAUUUAUAAGUAGAGCUUUAAAAGUUUUAGCAUACUUACUUUGCAUUUUGCUGUUGACGGUUCUUAAGUAUCAAUUUUAAUUAUCAAAUAAACAUGAGAAAGGACCAAUAUGCAACCAUCACCUAGAAUUAGGGUUUGAUCUGACAGAAUUCCACGAGUUUUGUUGUUUAUCUAUUUCUGCAGGGGGUUAUCAGGAAAUAAGGAAGAAAGGCCCACAUGUCGGGAUUACAUAGAGAUAUCAAAGCACCGCGUAAUUUUACAUCAUCUAGACGACUCCAGAAGCCACGAGACCGAAGCGGAGGCGAAGCUGGGCCAGGCCCAGGGCGCCCGCCCUGGUAGCCUGGGCGCCCGCCCCCCUGCUGGAGUCAAUUCAGGACUCUUUCGCUUGGGAUAUUCCACCGACCUAUUGGAUCAAGAAAAACAUAGUACCACCUCGGCUAUCGACCCAAAAACGCAUAGAAGGGGAGGACUAUAUAAGCGAGGCCCCCUGGCCCCUGGAAGACAUGAAGAAAUUAUCAUAGAGACUGAGGGGUGCCCUCGAAGGAAAACCUCUUCUCUAAUUAAUAUUUCUUUUUAGGCUUAGCAAUCAAUGUAAGGUAGAAAUAGAUCUUCUAGUUUCUACUAGAUUGAGAGAGAUAGAGUGGAGGUGUAGAGUGGAGGAAGCCCGGCUUGUCGGUGUCUACUCCAAGCUUGUACCUGCGGGAUCAAGUUCUCGUAACCCGAAGCUUGCUCCUAGGAUUCUUCAGUAAUUCGACUUCUAAAUUCUAGUAAGUUCUUGUUUUAUUGUUCUUAUGGUUUAUGAGUUUACUUUAAUCUCUUUGCGUAGAGUUUAGAGUAAUCAUUGCUGGCGUAAACGUGGUGUUUAGGCUAGGGUACUCAUAGAUAUUCCCUGACUAGCUGGACCGUGGUAGUAGUGAGGAAUGUGACAUUUCCGAGCUACCUUUGUAGAUCACAUCUCGUUAGCAGGAAGGAUAGGGUUUAUAGGUGCGGGUUGAACAUCCUUUGUGGUGUCUAGAUUCAGUUAGCCUCCCCAUUAGAACAGUAGAUCAUCCUUACCAAGGUUAGAAGGAGACUACGGUUGCAGUCUUCUCUAUUUAUCACUCACAUCGAAAGACAUUCUUUGUGCCUAAAGGUUAGUAGUAAUAGACCGGUUAGUCAGAUGCACUCUUUCUCCUAGUGGUAAAAAAAUAAAUACGAUACUCUGGAUAAUUUCCCGGGUGAAGUGCUCACCGAUAUCCGUGCGCUUGCGGAUCAAUUCCUUAUUGCGUUCCCAAAUAUCAACAUUUGCUAUGUCAACGCUCGGAGUAAGGGAGAGGAAUGUCAUACUCCUAGAUCAAGACCUUUGACCUUUUUGAGAAGUUUGUCAUCUCUUACUGGCAUAUUGCUUAUUAGAGGGACCAUGGGCUAUCAUUUUUUUUUCUUUCUCUCUCUCUUUUCUUUUUUUUCUCUUUUUUUUAAGUGGGCAGCAAGUACCCCUAAUUCUACUGUCGGACACAUGUCCAUUUUUUUCCACUCAGGUGGGUAUCUUUGUACCCCUAAUUCUACUUCGGACACUUGUCCAUUUUUACCUCUCGUCUCACUUCUUUUUUUUCGAAUCAAAUUUUUGGAUAAUCCCAUGCCUCUAACGCAAUAAUAAUUCGGAAGAGUGAAUCUUUUAUAUUUUUAAAACAAAAAGAUCUUGAUCUUAAGAGCAUGAUAAUUCUCACAACCAAAACUACAAGAAUUAACAAUGGCUUGAAUGAAGCAAGCGCCCACAAUUUUAAUAUUUAUAUCUUAUAAGACUCUAGGUAUUAUGUCAAACAGGAUCUCAUUCAUUUUUAGAUUUUCAAAAGAUAAAAUUUCCAGAACCCUAGCAAAACUUAGAACAAGUUAUAUAGUAGCUCAGACCUUCUCAUAUCAUAUUUGUCAAUUACUUAGACUUGGAUCAAACUAUUAUUUUAUUUUAUUUAAAACUUAGAAUUACACAAAACUAUUGUAUAUUACUCAAAAGAAAAACUUUGUUUGGUUUCAUGGUUAUGCAUUUUUUUAUUUCUGAAUACUAGUAAAUAUAACUAAGAAAGAAAAGUAAUACUUAUCUAGAUACACGUGGGGGUGCCUCCCCCAAGCUGGAUGUUGACAUAGUCGUUCACUCUUUUGGCCUACAUGUUCAGUCUCAUUCUUCUUAAGACUAAAAAUCCUGCACAACCCAAAUAGACAACAAAACUUGUGGAACAUGUUAAGGGUUAGGUAAUUGUCUAGAGCUUAUGAGAGCUUAAUAUGAGAAUUCUAUGAACUCAAUCACAUCAAGUUCCUCUACCAGGUUGUUUUGUGGCUCAAGAUAGAUUUUCAAGCGUUGACCAUUUACCUUAAAAGUGUUACCUAUGUCAUCUUGGAUGGUAAUGGCUCCAUGUGUUGAAGUGUCAACAACCUUGUAUGGUCCAUCCCACUUACUUCGUAGCUUACCAUGCCCAAAGAGCUUAACUCUUGAAUUGAAUAGUAGAACCUUAUCUCCACGCUUAAAGUCCUUGUGCUUGAUUCUCUUAUCAUGCCAUCAUUUUGUUCUCUCUUCAUAGAUCCCUGAAUUGUGGUAGGCUUUCUCUCUCCAUUCUUCUAGCAUAGAUAGUUGCAUCAGACGAUUCUCGCUAGCGAGGUGGAGAUCCAUGUUCCAUUUCUUGAGUGCCUAAUGAGCCUUAAACUCUACUUCCACAGGCAAAUGACAAGUUUUUCCAUAUACAAGUUGAUAAGGUGACAUGCCUAUGGGUGUUUUGAAUGCAGUUCUAUAUGCCCAAAGUGCAUCAGGAAGUUUGUCCUUCCACCCUUUACCCAUCUCAUCUACGGUCUUUUGUAAAAUAUUUUUGAUUUGUUUGUUAGAUGUUUCGGCUUGACCGCUAGUCUGAGGAUGGUAUGGUGUUGUGACGUUGUGUCGAACUCCAUGAUCGGCUAGGUACUUCCGGAAGAUUUUGUCGAUGAAGUGGGAACCUCCAUCGCUUAUAACUAUCCGGGGUAUACCAAAGCGAGGAAAGAUUACUUCAUGGAACAUUCUCUUGGCACGUUUUGAAUCAGCUGAUCAACAAGGUAGGGCUUCUACCCAUUUGGAUACGUAGUCCACAGCUACUAAGAUAUACUCACAAUUCCCAGACAUAGGGAAUGGCCCCAUGAAAUCAAUGCCCCAUACAUCAAAAAGUUCUACUUGAAGAUUAUUUGUGAGAGGCAUUUCAUUUCGUGAGUUGAUAUUCCCAUGUUUUUGACAUUGGUGGCAUCUCCUGACAAAGUCCUUUGUAUCUUCAUACAUCGUUGGCCAGAAAAAGCCACUUUGCCAAAUUUUAGCAUGUGUCCGGAAUGCUCCGUAGUGUCCUCCAUAUGGCGAGGCAUGGCAUCUUUCCAUAAUUUGGGUAGCCUCAGCCAUAGGAACACACCUUCUCAAGAGUCCAUCAGCACAGACUCGGAAUAGAUAUGGCUCAUCCCAAAGGUGGAAACGACUAUCAUGAUGCAACUUUCUUUUGUUUGCACCAGAUGGGACAUAGCCUUUUACUAUAAAGUUUACGAUGUCUGCGUACCAUGGAUCUACAUGUGUUAUCUUAAGCAGGGUGUCAUCCCUUAGGUAGUCAUUUAUGGGAAGCUCAUCAUGUGUUUCCUUAUAGUGAAGCCUAGAUAAGUGGUCGGCCACGGAAUUCUCUACUCCCUUCCUAUCUCGGAUUUCUAUGUCAAAGUCUUGGAGUAGAAGAAUCCAUCGAAUUAGAUGAGGCUUAGCAUCUUUCUUAGUGAGGAGGUACUUGAGAGCAGCAUGGUCUGAAUAGAUGAUUAUCUUUGCCCCAACUAAGUAAGAUCUAAACUUGUCUAUAGCAAAGACAAUAGCCAAAAGCUCUUUUUCAGUUGUAGUGUAAUUGAGCUGUGGUCCAGACAAGGUUUUGCUAGCGUAGGAUAUGGCAUAAUGCUUUUAUCCUUGGUUUGUCCUAAAACGGCACCAACCGCAAAAUCGCUAGCAUCACACAUGAUCUCAAAAGGAAGAUUCCAAUCAGGUGGUUGGAUAAUCGGGGCUGAGAUGAGUGCUUUCUUAAGAGUUUGAAAAGAUUCAUGACACUCAUCACUAAAGAUGAAAGGUGCAUCCUUAGCUAGGAGACUAGUUAGGGGUCUAGCAAUUUGAGAGAAGUUCUUGAUAAAGCGUCUAUGGAACCCUGCAUGUCCCAAAAAGCUACGGAUUCCUUUCACAUUCGUGGGAGGUGGAAGUUUUUCAAUAACUUCAAUCUUUGCUUUGUCCACCUCUAUACCACGUUCGGACACUUUAUGUCCAAGCACUAUUCCUUCCUGAAGCAUAAAAUGACAUUUCUCCCAGUUCAGGAUUAAGUGCUUUUCUUCACAUCGCUGUAAGACUCUAUCUAAAUUCUCUAAACAAUGAUCGAAGGUUUUGCCAUAGACGGUAAAAUCAUCCAUGAAAACCUCCAUGAUCUUCUCAAUCAUGUCUGAGAAAAUAGACAUCAUGCACCGUUGGAAAGAAGCUGGAGCAUUGCACAAUCCGAACGACAUUCGUCGGUAUGCAUAAGUUCCAUACGGGCAUGUAAAGGUAGUCUUUUCUUGGUCAUCUGGGUGGAUUGGGAUUUGGUGAUAUCCAGAAUAACCAUCAAGGAAACAAAAGAAAGAGUGGUUUGCAAGCCGUUCCAACAUUUCAUCAAUGAAGGGUAAUGGAAAGUGAUCUUUCUUUGUAGCCUUAUUGAGUUUUCGAUAGUCAAUACACAUACGCCACCCAGUGACAAUUCGUCGAGGGAUGAGUUCAUUCUUCUCAUUCCUAACGACUGUCAUUCCUCCUUUCUUUGGCACUACUUGGACAGGGCUAACCCACUCACUAUGUGGCACAGGAUAAAUAAUCCCAGCAUGAUAGAGUUUGAGGACCUCUUUCUUAACAACCUCUCGCAUAGCAUUGUUAAGUGUCCGCUGUGGUUCCCUUGAUGGUGUAAAAUUGGGAUCAAUAGGGAUACGAUGAGUGCAGAGAAUGGGACUAAUGCCCGUGAGGUCUUCGAGAGAGUAGCCAAAUGCUGAUCUAUGCCUUUCAAGAACAGUGACAAGUUAUUGUGUUUCAUAAUCGGAAAGCUUGUCACUGAUAAUUACUGAAGUUUUUGGGUUGUUGUGCAAAAAGACAUAUCUAAGGCCAGAAGGAAGAGGUUUUAACUCUAUCGGAGGAGGUGAAGGUUGUUCAUUUUUGUCUAGCUCAACGAGUUCUACCAACUCUUCUUCUUCUUGAACAAAGUGUUCAUGAUUAAAGAAUGGUUGGGCCAUCUCCUCUUGAGUCAGCAUUAAGAUCUCCUCAAUAGGAUCUGGUUCAAGCUUGGGUUCCACUAUCAUGUUAAUUGAUCUAGCAAGAGGAACAACAAUAGUGGAAUUCCCAACCUUGAAGUCUAAAUGACCUCGUUGUGGUUGUUCCUGUAGAAGUUUCAUGAUUGGUGUGCCAAUCAAGAGAGGAAUCUCCGGUAUGUCAAAAAUGUGAAAAUCUAGACAUAUUCUAGAGUCCUUGAUUCUAACAGGAACUGCCCUUAAUACCCCAUGGCUUUCUAGAAUUAAUCUAGAUGGACUUUGUAAAAGUUUUUGAGAUUGGGUUAUGGACUCGUUGGUAUAAAGAGUGUCAGCUAACUCCUUAGAAAUAACAUUUAUCCCAACAUAUGGAUUAUAGUGGACCUUUCGAGCGGACCUUCUAAUUUGGCACAGAAGAAUGGUUGAAGGAGUGAUGAAUCGAGCUACCUCAGGAGACAGCUCAGCUUCUGUUAGCCAUUCAUAACUCAGAAUAGCCGAAAGGCUUUUGAUGUGUUCUAUGUCAACAGAUUCUACUCUUAGAACGGAUUGAGUGGUCCCUGCUAGAGGUCGUGUUUGGAUAGGAAAAUUCGAGGUGUUUCCAUAAUCUUCAAAAAGAUCUUCCUCGAAUUCAAAGGGAUGCUCUAAAGGUGGUGGUUCAUCAUCCCUUAGUUGGUUUUGCAUUCCCUUAUCAGGAGGUUUCUCUACAACCAAAUUAAUAGAUGGAUCAGGUGGAAUUUCUAACUCAGUUGCAAGUUCCUCAUCUCUUGGUUUAGGAUCAGGCUCGACUUCUUUUUCUUCUUUAGGAAACUCAUCAUAAAUGCCUGUGUAAGGGGUCUUUUCAAGGAUUCUUUCUAGGAUAGCUCUCCCCUCAUCUGUGAGUUUGUGUGUGAAUGAGCCUCCUGAAGCAAUGUCGAGGUGAAGAGCAGCUUCCUUGUUUAGACCACGAUGAAAGUGAUAGUACAGUACAUGGUUAGGAAGGACAAGGUUUGGAUCGGAAUUGGUAAGGCUUGUGAACCUAGCCCAAGCUGCUCCUAAAGUUUCCUUCUCUCUUUGUUUGAAUGUGAGAAUUUCGAUUCUAAGGUCAGCGAUUCAAAAAAGUGGGAAGAAAGCGAGACAAAAGUUGUCCCGAAGUUCAUCCCAAUUUCCAUUAACGCCUCCUAUAGAAUGAGCAUACCACUUUUUUGCUCUUCCCAAAAGGGAGAACGGAAAUAAUUUCCAUUUAAGGGUUACUUGUGUCAUGCUGGAAAUAGAUCGGAAAGAGCACAACUGCUCAAAUUCUCUAAGGUGAGUGUAUGGAUCUUCAUCUACUUCCCCAGAGAAGGGUUGCUCCUGAAUCAUGGCUAUUAGAUCAAGGCCGAGGUCGUAGCCAUCUGUAAGAAUUGGAUGUGAUGAUGGUGGUGGCUCUAAUAACUCGCCCUUUGGAGCAAAGAAUUUAUAAAUAGGAGUGAAAUCCAUGUGGUGUGGUAAAAAUGGUAAGGUGAGUGUGGUAAAAAAGGAAAAGAAAAAGGAUACACAGACGACUUGGUUCGAAACUAGCACAGCUACCGUUCCCCGGCAACGGCGCCAGAAAGCUUGUUGGGUAUUUUAAACGCAAACAGAAAAAUCCGUAAGCGCACGGAUACCGAUGUAGCUUUCACCCGGGAGUAUUCCAGAGUAUCGAUUUUCCACAGAGAACGUGAGUGUACUAAUUAAGAUUCAAGAUCGCCCAAGGAUAACUAUAUAAUUAUUUUUGGUGGGAAGAGAGGAAGUUUCCUGAGAGUUCUCUAGUUGAUCUAAGAAUCAAGAAUUACUUCAAGAUUAUCUAUAUCGGGACAUCCGAGCACUUAUCUAUAUCGGGACAUCCGAGCACUAACCACGGAAAGAAAUGAGAAGGGGGCUAGGAAGGUCUGACUACGGUCCUACACACACCGAUCUGAACGAGGUGGAAUACGUCGACCGUUAGGGCUGUCACUACCCUAGGGCUACCACAACAAUCCGCAGGAUUGGGUGCAAUUCUAGGUAAUUUUAAGACUAAACACCACGUCUAAUCUAUUAAUUACUACUCUAAUGUUGCAAAGAUUAGAGCACUUGAUGCAAUCGGGAAUCCAAUAAAUAACUUGAAUGUAAAUAAAAGUAAUUAAAGAACUCAGGAACUAUGAAUUGAAGAAACUGGAGAACGAUGAAGAACGAACCAGUUGCUGCAAAAGUACAAUGUUGAGGAAGAUCCGACAGAUCCGGCUCCUCCUCCGCUCUCCUCUUCUCUCUCCGUAUUUUCUAGAUUACAACUAGAACGCACUAGAACUAGAACUAGAGGAACUAGAACUAGAAGAACUAGAACUAGAACUAGAUGAACUAGAGGUAUCCUCUCUACUUGGAUGAAGAAUUGAAACCCUAUCUUUGAUUCUGUAGAAGAGGUAUGAUCUCCAGGGGCCAGGGGGUCUGGGUUUAUGUCCCUUCAAGUGAAUAUGGGCUGUUGGAUCAAACCGAUAUUGAUUGAAUGGUUAUCCUUGAUCCUUUAGGUCGGUGGAGCACGAUCCGCGAGUUUGGACGUGAUUGGGCAGAACUCCAGGGCGGGCGCCCAUAGGACUUGGGUGGGUGCCCUGUCCCUGAGCCCUCUCGGCUUUCCGUUCGUUCCCAUGGCUUCUGGAGUCUUCUAGAUGGUAGAAAAUUGCGCGGCACGUUAAUAUCUCUAUGUAAUCCCGAUGUGUGGGCCUUUCCUCCAUAUUUCCUGAUAACCCCCUGUAGAAAUAGACAAACACCAAAACUCGUGGAAUUCUGUCAGAUAAAACCCUAAGUCUUGGUGUCGGUUGCAUUUGUAUCCAUUUCCAUGAUUAGUUGAUGGUUAAAUGUGAGCAUUAAGGACCGUCAACAUGUACCCAAUAUGCCAGAUCGCGGGGUAGUUCGUGAUAGUGACAGCUUCAUUGAUUCUUAUAUAGUCCCCCUCUCGUGUAUUGGGCUGGCAGAGCAAUAUUAUUACAGGGGAGUGAUUACGAUGUUUCUCAUAUUCCUUGCUAAUAUCACUAUGCAUGGGCGUAGUCGUUUCUGACCAAGAAGGACGACUGUGGGGGUAUAAACCCCUAUACCCUUACGGCUAGACUUCGGCCAUUAGGCUUGGCCCAUUACGAGACGAGUUCAAGGCUUGAUCCGACAACCUGGAGUUUCGCGCAAGGAAACAAGAUGUGGAGAUCAAGCAGGAUUCUAGUCGGUUAGAAUAGGAAUUGAUAUCGAAUUAUCCAUGGCAAUUGUAACCGGCUAGGAUUAGUUUCCAGAUCUGUAACCCUGCCCUCCAGACUAUAUAAGGAGGGGCAAGGGACCCCCCUAGGACAUCAUAUUCUCUCAACACAAAUCAAUACAACCAGACGCAGGACGUAGGUAUUACGCCAACUCGGCGGCCGAACGUGGAUAAAAAGCUUGUCCGUGUCUUGCGUCACCAUCGAGUUCGUAGUUUGCGCACCGUCUACCGAUAAACUACUACCGUGGGUAUACCCCAAGGUAGACUGCCGACUAGCUUUCGUCGACAGUGGUGCGCCAGGUAGGGGGUGUGCGUGCAACUUUUCCGGCGAACAAGAUGGUCACGAUCCCAGCUUCCGCGACCGUGCCCGAAGGCCUCACGUUCACCGUCGGCCAGAUCACGUGGACGACGUGCAGCGGCGGCUUCGCGACCACGUUUCCGAAGGAGAUCCAGAUCCAAUCUGAGAUCACGCCGUCUCCGACCACACGCAUGACGGCACCAAGCGCCCGACCACCGUUCCCACUCUACAAGGGAAAGGAGAUCGACUGCUCGGACCUCCUCCAAGCGCUCGAUCGCACUGACUCCAAGCUACUCGAAGUCUCCCAACUAAUAGAUGGAGUUCUGCACCGGCCCGACCAAGCUGCUCGAGCGGAUUUUUUGAAAUCCCGCCGGCCAACUCGUGUCGCCACACACGAACGGCUGGGAACGUCCCUGACGAUAACCUCAACCCCCUCAGGUCGAUCCGUCGAGCUCAAAAAGGAAGACUAUCCUCGCGGCCUGAACAACUCGGCCUCUGUUUACUCACAGCAAGUCCAAUCCAUUUUCAGCAAGGCGGGUUGGUCACCGACAAGGAACAAUCGUCACCAUGUCAACAUGGUGACAAUCCGAGAGCUACGGGACGGCCAGGUUUCCAGCACCAACUCAAGCACCGGCUCCGUCCCCACCGAGGUUAUAAACACCGAAGACGAGGGCUACGACCUGGAUUUUCCUUCACACCCUCCGGGUUUCGACCGAUUCCCGAUAUUCCCCCCCCCCGGCGAGGGGAUAUUGUGUUCAAUGUCAGCGCCGACGAACCGGAUGUUGACGGAGAAACAGAUGACCAGAGGCAACUCCGCGAACAGCGUAACGCCGAUCGCGCCCGACGGCGUGCGGACGAGCAACAGAUGCCACCAAGUAACCUCAACGAUGCCUUUGACAUGGUCGGGGACCAGCCAGUCUACAAAACGCCAAGCGCCAACGUGGCUGUCGCCAUGGCCAACCUGGAUCGGCUUCCUGACACCCCCGAAUGCCAGGGUGUCCGGACCAGCAUCCGAGCACACCUGAUCGCCGCAAUGGGACAGACAGCCACUCUACUCAAGAGAGUCCAGGACGUCUCUUAUACGGAAGCCGCCUCCGACCAGACUAAUCGUAGCCAGGUCUCACCCAGCAGGCGUCACCGCAGCCGCUCCCCCGACAACCGUCGAGGGGACUCGCGGCGCGACGAUGGUGGUCGGGACGCCGAUGGCCGCCGCAAGCAAAUUCAUGGCAUACGCGGCCAAGAAGAAGAUCAACACAGGGAUCUCCGCCACAACAUCCCUCCCAAAGAUGCCCGGGACCGCAUCAACAGGCGCGCCGCAGAGAGAGUAGUCCACGAAAACCUGCGCCGCAUCGAGUACGAUGCGACCCACGGUCCUCCAGGCCUAAGACAGUUCUCCUCACACCUCCGCCAGGUCGUGUGGCCCCGCAAUUUCAAGCUCGAAAAACUUAAAAAAUACGACGGCAAGGAAAAUCCAGAGAACUGGAUCACUCUCUAUGAAAUCGCCGUCCGAUCAGCGGCAGGAGAUGAGCACGUCAUGGCUAACUACUUCCCCGUAGUCCUCGACCAGGCUGGUCAUCAGUGGCUUCUCGGCUUGCCCGAGGACUCCUUCGACUCUUGGGAAGAGCUACGCCAGGCUUUCAUCGACAACUUCAUCGCCACAUGCGAGCAGCCCGGAAACAAGUAUGACCUUGAAAGGAUAAGAGACAGGAAGAAUGAACCUCUGCGCGAUUACAUCCGACGAUUCUCGGAUAUGCGCCUCAAAAUCCCGAAGAUUUCCCAUGACGAGGCCAUAUCGGCCUUUAUCAAGGGCUUGCGUUUCCAUGAAGCGCUGAGGAACAAGCUGUUGCGUAAGGGCCCAUCAACGGUAGCAGAGCUCCUCGCCACGGCUAAAAAUUACGCCGAUGCUGAUGACGCAGAAAAACUAAUCCGAGACGAUGCGAGAGGCCCCGACCAGCCUUCCCGGCGAGAUGACGGUCGUGGUCGCUACGACAACAGAAAUCACCGCCGCUCUGACAACCGCGAUCACCGAGAGGGUUGGGAUCGGCGGCGCGACAGCCGCGACGACUUCAGAGGAAAGCGCCCUCGCGAAUACGACCACGAAGUAAAUACGGUCAAACGUCCCAAUGGACGACGGGACUACCAAGACGACUACAACAAAACGUUGAAGGGACCGUGCCAGCUACACCCAAAGUCUAACCAUACCAUGGAAGAGUGCCGCGUCCUCAAAAGUAUCUAUACACGGCGGGCCGCCCAAGAGGACUCCGCCAAGAAAAAUAACAAGCGCGACGGGCACGACCACGAAGAUGAGGAUGAGGACCAAGACAGGGACCCCCGACACCAAUACGUCAGCCCCACCGACGUGGUCCACUCCAUUUUCGGGGGCAAGGUCUCCACUGAGUCCAAGCGAGAAAGAAAGCUGUUAAAGAGAGCCUGCCUCAACAUAGACAGCACGGACGGGCUGAUUGCAGACCCGAAAUUUCCCGCGUGGUCCCACAGGGAGAUCUCGUUCAGCAGGAAGGACCAGUGGGCCGCUAUCCCAGAGCCGGGUCAUUUCCCACUGAUUCUUGAUCCCUGCAUCAAUAGCAUCAGAUUCGAGCGCGUGCUCGUGGACGGGGGAAGCUCCAUCGACAUCCUUUUCCGCAACAGCCUGCCCGCCCUCAAGAUAUCACCGGCACAACUAAAACCUUACGACGCCCAAUUCUGGGGGGUUUUCCCAGGUCAAAGUUCGGUGCCCCUCGGACAGAUAACAUUGCCUGUCCAAUUCGGCACACCCGAUCACUUCCGGACGGAGUUCAUCAACUUCGUAGUCGCGGAUUUCGACGGGACCUAUCACGCCAUACUGGGCCGCCCAUCGCUGACAAAGUUCAUGGCAGUCCCGCACUACUCAUACCUAGUCCUUAAGAUGCCCACGGAGAAGGGUGUCCUAACCAUCAGAGGCAACGUCUACACCGCGUACACCUGCGAAGAAGAAAGCUUCAAGAUCACCGAGGCAAUCGACCUCUUAAUCCGCAUGGCGGAAACAGCAAACCAAGCCGCACAGCUGCCUCCCGACCAGCUCCGAUUACCUGAGCAGGAGACAGCCAGAAAGAACUCGAAAUCCAAGGAGUACAAAGAAGUGCAGCUGGUCGAAGGCAACCCCGAGAAGACAGCCCUCAUCGGGGCUAACCUGGAUCCAAAAUAGGAAGACGCGCUCGUCAGGUUUCUAAGGGACAACGUGAGCGUUUUCGCAUGGAAACCCGCAGACAUGCCCGGUGUCCCACGAAACCUGAUCGAGCACUCCUUAAAUGUCUCGAAGACCGCAAGACCAAUCAAGCAAAAACUGCGACGGUUCGCUCGUGACAAAAAGGAGGCUAUUAGGACAAAAAUAACACGGCUUCUAGCAGCCGGAUUCAUAAAAGAAGUGUAUCACCCCGAUUGGCUCGCCAAUCCGGUUCUUGUACGCAAAAAGAAUAAUGAAUGGAGAAUGUGCGUUGAUUACACCGAUCUCAACAAACACUGUCCUAAAGAUCCUUUUGGUCUUCCUCGCAUCGACGAGGUGGUCGACUCAACGGCCGGAUGCGAACUCCUCUCCUUUCUAGAUUGCUACUCUGGUUAUCACCAGAUCUCGCUAAAGGAAGAAGAUCAGAUCAAAACAUCCUUCAUCACCCCCUUCGGCGCAUACUGCUACACUACCAUGUCUUUCGGGCUUAAAAACACCGGGGCCACUUAUCAAAGGGCCAUCCAGCAAUGCCUCCACGACGAGAUUCGCGAUGACCUCGUCGAGGCCUAUGUGGACGACGUGGUCGUAAAAACAAGGGACGCGAGCACCCUAAUCGACAACUUAGACCGAACCUUCAAGGCACUCAAUAGGUACAAGUGGAAGCUCAACCCCAAGAAAUGCAUUUUCGGCGUUCCUUCCGGUUUACUGCUCGGCAACGUCGUCAGUCGCGACGGCAUACGACCAAACCCUUCAAAAGUCAAAGCCGUACUCGACAUGCGACCACUGAAGAAUGUCAAGGAUAUUCAGAAGCUAACCGGAUGCAUGGCCGCCCUCAGUCGUUUCAUCUCAAGGCUGGGAGAAAAAGGCCUCCCUUUCUUCAAACUAUUGAAAGCGUCAGAAAAAUUUUCUUGGACAGAGGAAGCCGACGCUGCGUUCACUCAGCUUAAGACCUUCCUCACUUCACCACCUGUCCUCACAGCGCCUCAGCCCAAUGAAGACCUACUCCUUUACAUUGCUGCAACCGACAAGGUUGUUUCCACGGCAAUAGUGGUCGAGCGAGAUGAGCCAGGUCACGUCUUCAAGGUCCAGAGACCCGUUUACUUCAUAAGCGAAGUCUUAAACGAGUCCAAGGCCAGGUACCCACAAAUACAGAAGCUUAUAUACGCCAUCCUGAUAACAUCAAGAAAGCUGAAGCACUACUUCGACGGCCAUCGAGUCCUGGUGACAACCAGCUUUCCUCUCGGGGACAUCCUGCGCAAUAAAGACGCCAAUGGCAGAAUCGUGAAAUGGGCAAUGGAAUUAUGUCCAUUUUCCCUGGAGUUCCAGAGUCGCACCACUGUCAAGUCCCAAGCCCUGGUCAAUUUCAUUGCCGAAUGGACGGAUCUCAACGAGCCUUCCGUUCCCGAUGUCUCAGACCACUGGUCAAUGUUCUUUGAUGGGUCCUUGAACAUCAACGGUGCAGGAGCUGGGAUAUUUUUCGUAUCACCCAACAAGGACAAACUCCGCUACGUCCUUAGGAUCCUUUUUCCGGCGUCAAACAACGUCGCUGAAUACGAAGCAUGCUUACAUGGCAUACGACUAGCCGUUGAACUGGGGGUCAAGCGCCUCUAUGUCUACGGCGACUCCGCUUUGGUCAUCAACCAGCUCAACAAGGAGUGGGACGCAACCCACGAGAAGAUGGAUCUCUACUGCAAAGAAAUUCGCAAAUGGGAAACUAACUUCUAUGGCAUAGAGUACAUCCACGUGGUCCGGGAUAAGAACCAAGCAGCAGAUGCGUUGUCAAAGUUAGGCUCAUCUCGGGCCCAAAUCCCGCGGGGUAUUUUUGUCCAGGACAUCCAUGAGCCAAGCGUAACCUCUCCCCUGGUCGACAAGCAACCCACCGAGGCAAUGCUCAUAGAUGACGCCACUCCGACAACCGGUGGGCGUGACUGGCGUACCCCGUUCAUCAAAUACAUAUCAGACGGGACAGGCUCUCAGGACAAAACAGAGAACGAGCGCCUCAUCCGACGAUCAAAGAACUACAUCCUGGUCGACGGAAAACUCAUGCGGAAAAACGCAAGCUCUGAAGUACUGCUCAAGUGCAUACCCCAAGAUGAUGGUAUCAAGCUCUUGGAGGACAUACACGCUGGAUCCUGCGGCAAUCACGCCGCAUCUAGAACGCUGGUCGGAAAGGCUUUCCGAGCAGGUUUUUAUUGGCCAACCGCGGUCGGCGACGCAGAAAAACUGGUUCGGCAUUGCGAAGGAUGUCAGUUUUUCGCUAAGAGGACCCACGUACCUGCCCAUGAAAUUCAAACUAUCCCGUCGUCUUGGCCCUUUGCUUGCUGGGGGCUUGACAUGAUCGGACCAUUUAAACCAGCCCCGGGCAAUUUCAAGUUUGUCUUCGUGCUAAUCGACAAGUUCUCCAAGUGGAUUGAAUACAUGCCCCUGGCCAAGGCAACCUCCGAGAAGGCUGUGGAGUUUCUCAAUCAAAUCAUACACAGAUUCGGCAUCCCGAAUAGCAUAAUCACCGACCUGGGCACUCAGUUUACUGGCACCACUUUUUGGGAUUUCUGCGAUGACAGAGGCAUAGUCAUAAAAUAUGUGUCAGUGGCACAUCCACGUGCCAACGGUCAAGUCGAACGUGCUAACGGAAUGAUCGUUGACGCCCUAAAGAAGAGGCUGUACACCGAAAACGACAGAGCACCCGGUCGAUGGAUGAGAGAAUUGCCGGCAGUAGUCUGGGGCCUCCGAACCCAGACCAGUCGAAACACAGGGGUGUCUCCCUACUUCAUGGUAUACGGUGCAGAGGCGGUCCUGCCGUCUGACAUACACUUCGGAUCUCCUAGAAUCGAGCACUUCGACCAGGCGACUGCCGACAACGCCAGAGAACUCGAAAUCAAUUGCAUGGAGGAAAAGCGUUUAGUUUCAUGUCUCCGAACAGCAAAAUAUCUCGCGGCAGUCAGGCGAUACUACAACAGGAACGUCAAGGACCGUUCCUUCGUGGUCGGCGAUCUGGUGCUUCGAUGGAAAACAAGCCAGGAGGGAAUGCACAAGUUAUCCACUCCUUGGGAAGGACCCUUCGUGGUGACCGAGGUCACACGACCUACGUCCUACAGAUUGGCAUACCCAGACGGAACACGAGUGCCUAACUCUUGGCACAUCGACAAACUGCGACGUUUCUAUCCAUAAAGUUUUAAUGACUUUCUUUUGUAAGUAUCUUAUAAUUUUUGAUAAUGAAAUUCUCUAUUUUUCGCCUCUACCUUGUCAUACACAGCACUCGGCAAAACUCCUGCAAUGGAUGCUCUUGGCGACAACCAAGACAAAUACGGUGACACGUCACUCAGAUAUUUUUACAGCGCUCAAAACAACAGUCAUGACAAAAAGAAAACUUUAUUACAAACUUUACAUACAAAGUUUACAAUAAAUACCCUGACGGGCAGAUACUAGUCUAUUCCUACAGACUACUUUAUUGGCCUAGCUGCUCGGGCUGAUCACCCGCCUGGCCCUGCUGCCCGGACGAAGGGGUCGGGGCCACCGGCGCAUGGCUGGUCGAGACCGCAGGCGUCGACCGCCCAUCUCCAGCAACGGACGCGCCCGACAACUCCCUGGCCGACCUAUCUGAGCUCGGCUGGUCUGGAGGAGUGGCCGUUCCGCACAGAUUGAUGUCGCCGAUCAUUGUCGACGACAAGUCCAGCAGACUACCCCGAAGUUCGUCCGCUUCCUGUGGGCCGACUUCCUUCGGGUACCCCUUCUCCAGCCUGCUCAAGUCGACCAGGGGGUAGUGGGCGCGCACCAUGCUGAGGACGUGCGCACCGGCAAACUCCCCGGCGUCCUUCACAAACUGCUGGAGCCAGUCCCACGCCCGUUGCGCCUUCUCGACCGGGGUCAACUGCGGCGCGCGGGGCUGGCUCUCCGGGAGCUCGGGACUGAUCAGGUCUAGGACCGGGGACACUCCUUUCCAGAUCCUGCAACAGUUGGCCUUCCAGGAGUCCCGGUCCUUGAUCAGAUCAUCCAGGUGCCUUUUGGCGUUAACCUUGAGAACUGCAAACGAAACGAAGCGUUAUUUUCGGCAUACCAAACAAACAAAGGGGCAGGCAGCAACCAACAAGGCGGCACCCAUUACCAGAUAGCUCCCGGUCUUUUCGACCCAAUUCCUCUUCUGCUCGCCGCCCGGACUCCAGCGCACCGGCGAGCUGUUGGCUGAGCUGCUCCUUCUCUUGUUGGAGGCUCGCCACCUCCUCCUCCAAGUCUGCGUGAAUCCUAAACUGGUCAGCAAAGCAAACUAUACAAGUACGCGAAGCUGCUCGGAGCGUGUGACUAACCUUCUUGCAGCCGGUACUGGUCGGCCAAACGACGAGUGAGGUCGAGACGACGCUCCUUUUCGGCACUCAUCUCGACCACCUUCUCCCCGACCUCCGCCCGCAACCGGUCUACCUCCGCGGCAAGGGCCUUGUUCUCGGCCAUGACGCCUUCUAUCUGGUCAAAGCACCGUUUCCGGUACUUCGCCGUUUUCAUUGCGUCCUACAAAGCAAGCAUAUAACGACCAUGCAAGACAAGGCAAAAGAAUGUGCAUCAGUGCAAAAAGCCGCUUACCUUGACUUCGUCGACGAGGCGCUUGGCCGCGCGCUCCACCCUGGCAGCCUCUUCGGUCUCGGCGAGCUCCUCAUGCCCGAUGAAGUGAUCCCCGCGUUGGCGCCACACAUACACGUGUUGGCGGCCAUCACAGGGACGACCCUCGAUCUCUUCCACUUCAUCAUCGGAGGCCGCCCGGGUUUCCUCCUCCUGUGCUGCGUCACCCCCGGUGGCGGUCCCAGGUAUUACUGGCCCUUGGACCAGACCUGGGGAGCCCGCAGCAGAGGAGGCUCCUGCUCGGGGCGGCGUGGGGACUUCACUCCCCCCGGCAGGAGGAGCGGUCGGAGAUCUUCCCUUCUCUGAGGAGUCAGUUGGGGGAGCCUCUCCAGCCCUGGUCGGGCUUCUUGUCGUAGUCGGUGCCGCGCUCGGGAGCCCCUCGGUGCUCCCAGGCGCGACUGCAGCUGUUGGCUGCUCUGUGGUCUGGGGGGCCGCAUCCCCAGAACCGCGGGCAGGCUCGCCCAUCCCUUGGCUGGCAACCUGGCCGGGGUCGACAUCCGACGCCGCACUACAGGAACAAAAGUCAAAUUUCAAAAAAAAUCAAAGAGGAGUCCAAAAAUACGUAAGUCGAACACUUACAGGUCUGAUCGACGGUGGGUGGCGGUGAACCUCCUCCUCGCCCGGCCGGCCGGCACCUGCGCCCCCGUCUCGACAACUUGCGGUGCAGGGGCGUCGCCGGCCACUCGAUCAGUAGCGGCCGGCGCAUUAUCUGGGCGACCCCGGGGCCGUCGGACCAACGACGGCGCAGCCUCCUCGUCGUCGUCGUCGUCGUCGUCAACGAUCCGCACGAGCCGACGACGCUUCGGUGCUUGGCUGUUCUCCGCCGGAACAUCCGCCGGCAAAGGGUCUGCUGGCAAUGGCCUCUUCCCCGCUACCCUCUCCUCGGAGGUCGGGUUGGGGCGGGCUUGGUCCUCUUCACUGCUGGUGUAAUGAGUACACCGAGCAGCGUCCUCCUCUGGCGGGUCCUCUCCCGCAGGAUUUUCCAUCCCCGGCGCCAGUGAUACAUACACUGUGCACCGGUCGACACCGCCGAUCUGCAAAAGCAACAGAGAUGAGUCAACUGCCGACGAUAUACGAAUGCUAAAACAGAAUCUGCUACAUACCUUUGGUGCUGGUCGUCCUAACUUGAAGGCUUGCACCCGAUCACUGCCAUGGAUGAAGCCUCCGUCCGCGAAGUUAAACAGCUCGUUCUCCAAGAUCUCCGACCGCAUCCUGGUCGGGUAUGCGCUUCCGGCAUACUCGUACGCCGAGUGCACCCUCUUCUGGCAGGGCAUCACCCGGCGGCAAAUGAAGUUGCCGACCACGCCAAGCCCGUCCAGGCGCGACCAGUCGAUCAGCUUCAUGAGAUCCGCCACUGGACCGUCGAACUCCGGGCGGUCGGUCCAGCUCGUCCUCUUCUCAGGAAUAUAUCCCACGUCGCAGAACGUGGAGCUGCCCGGUUCCUCCCUGAUGUAGAACCACUUCCUGUACCACUCGGUCAAGGAAGUGUUCCAUGGACAGUGCAGGUAGCGAUUCUUCAUUCCAUCACGAAGGUUGAGGUAUACUCCACCUGCAACCUUGGAGCUUCCAACUGCUCCCUUCUUCCUCAAGCAGAAAAGAUACCGGAAAAGAUCGAAGUGCGGCUCUAUGCCAACAUAGGCCACGCACAUAUGGAUAAAGGUGGAAAUGAGGAGAAUUGAGUUCGGGUGCAGAUUGCAAAUCCCGAUCUCAUAAUACAAAAGAAGACCUUGAAGAAAAGGAUGAACGGGAACACCAAAACCCCUCUUAAUGAAAUCUUCAAAUACGACGAUCUCACCGGCGCGAGGGUCGGGGUAGCUCUCCCCCUCCGGUGCCCUCCAGCCGCCGAGCUCCGGGCCGUGCAGAAGCCCCAUGUCGACGAGGUCGCCAAGAGAUUUUGUGGUGCUGCGAGACUUCUUCCACUCCUUGGCCAUCAGUUCGGCCCUCUUCCUGGAGUCGCUCUUCGCCAUUAGAGGAGAGAAUGUGGGCUUGAGUUAGGGAGAUGCAGGAGAUUGAAGAAGAUGAGAGCGGAAGGUUUGAAGGCAAUGGCAGCGAAAGCGGUACAGGCGGACCUAUUAGGCUCUUAUAAGCCCGCAACUCCACCUCUCCCACUUCCUGUAUUCUCGGGAAGUGGGCAGGCCAUGCGGCGGACGCGGCGUUUCGGUUUACAAUGAUUAUAGACAAUUAAUGCGGCGGAGUUUUCGUACCAAUUGAUGGUUUCCUUUUCUCAAACCAUGCAAAGGGCGGCUGUACAGUUGUCAGGUGCAACUUUUCAUGCAUCCGUCUGACACCCCGUCAGGAGGCCUCGUCACGUCAACUUUAACUGGACAGAUCUUUUCAAAAAUAAGAAGACACAUAAGCCAGUGAGUCAACAAUCCGGGGACUGCACCGACCACCGAGCACUCGACGCUCGGGGACUGGUCGUCCAGUCUAUCAGCUCGGAACUUCAAGAACUGCACCGACCACCGAGCACUCGACGCUCGGGGACUGGUCGCCCAGUCUAUCAGCUCGGACCUUCAAGGACUGUGCCGACCACCGAGCACUCGACGCUCGGGGACUGGUCGCCCAGUCUAUCAGCUCGGACCUUCAAGGACUGCACCGACCACCGAGCAAUAUACGCUCGGGGACUGGUCGACCAGCUCACCAAUUUAUGAACUUGGGGACUGCACCGACCACCGAGCACUAUACGCUCGGGGACUGGUCGACCAGCCCACCAAUUUGAGAAUUCUAAGGAGCGCACUUGGUGCUUGGGGACUGGUCGAUUAGUCUAUUCAAUUGCAGACGGACUGGUAAAUUCAGUUAUUUAGACCUUGCUACAAGGCUCAUACUUCGCCUUCCAGCAAGCUCGGGGACUACAUCGGUACGAUGCAUCUGGCGAUGCAUCUCAGUUACAGAAUUUCUUUGAGGACUUUUAUUUUGACCCUGGCACCACGUGCCUACGUCACCUACUACCAGGCUCGGGGACUAAGUGGGCACACUUCACCUAGCGGUGAAUUCGCUAGCUUUUUUGAUGUUUAUACCUUUCAAAAAGGUAAAGUGGGCACACUUCACCAGGAAAGAAAUCUUUUUUAAUUUAGAGCACCAUGCAUUCUUCGAACAACUCGCUUCUUCGAUGCCAAUGUUGAUCAACUAUCUUUUGAGUUGGUCAAAGAACCGUUGCAACUGUUUGGGCGACUUUCCCACUUAUUGAAGACGUCGAGUCUCACUGAUCGAAGAAGCUCAAGACGGCGUGUUACAUCACAAUACAUGGUGCUCGGGGACUAGCUGUGGGGGUAUAAACCCCUAUACCCUUACGGCUAGACUUCGGCCAGGAGGCUUGGCCCAUUACGAGACGAGUUCAAGGCUUGAUCCGACAACCUGGGGUUUCGCGCAAGGAAACAAGAUGUGGAGAUCAAGCAGGAUUCUAGUCGGUUAGAAUAGGAAUUGAUAUCGAAUUAUCCAUGGCAAUUGUAACCGGCUAGGAUUAGUUUCCAGAUCUGUAACCCUGCCCUCCAGACUAUAUAAGGAGGGGCAAGGGACCCCCCUAGGACAUCAUAUUCUCUCAACACAAAUCAAUACAACCAGACGCAGGACGCAGGUAUUACGCCAACUCGGCGGCCGAACCUGGAUAAAAAGCUUGUCCGUGUCUUGCGUCACCAUCGAGUUCGUAGUUUGCGCACCGUCUACCGAUAAACUACUACCGUGGGUAUACCCCAAGGUAGACUGCCGACUAGCUUUCGUCGACAACGACCCAGGAAUGCCAAGCAUCUAUUGCUCCAUAAAUGGAUACAACUUCUACAAAACGUUUUGUGACACCGGAUCAGGCGUCAACAUAAUGGCCACAGUCACCUAUCGGCUCUUGUUCGGAACCAUGCCCCUAAAACCAACAUACAUUCAGCUCCAGAUGGCAGAUCAGAUAUUUCGAGAGGUUAAAGUUAUAGUAACCGAUGUCCCUGUCAAAAUAGAAGAUCAUUUUGUCUACACAGACUUUUAGGUUAUUGACAUGGGAGAAGACGAAUACGAUCCACCCAUCAUCCUUGGAAGACCGUUCCUCAGCAUCGUUAAAGCAAUAAUCUACAUUGGAACUGGAGAAAUCCAUAUGCACUUCCCCUCAGAGAAGGUACGCCGCUGUUUUACUGACCCUAACUAUAUCGUUGAAGACUCUAAGCAGGUCAGAAAAUGACGCAACCGCAACCAAAGGAGGCAAAUCAUCAAGGAUGGAUCGGCAGACUAUGAAGGAGAAGUUGUAAGGUCAGAAGACAUACAGUUUAAACAGAAUUAUCCAGAGGAAACCAUAGCACCAAGUCAGGUGUGGAGAGAGAAGAUAACUAUACAUGAAGAGGAGGCGCUGCCGGAAGCACCGACUACGCCACCCAACGAAUCCCAGGACGACUGAGAAAACGGAGAGUCCCGUUCAGAGGACUUAAAAAUACCGAACGCCUUGCCAAGAGGUAAACUUGGUAGUUAUCUUUUUUUCGUUUCAAUUAUUUUAAAAUAUUUUACUUAGUUAAUCAUGUUCGUACUAUCCUAAAAAGAAAAUAAAAAUGUUAAAAAAAUAGUAAGCCCCAUGUGAGCAUACGAGUGACAUAAAACCCAUAAGUACAUUCACUGUGGUGGCAUAAAAAUAAAAUAAAUAUUUCUUUUCUGCUUUAUAACAUGAAAAUAUAAAAAAAUAGAGAGUAAUAUUUAUUGAGGAGGCUCAACAUGAUAAAGGCUAGAUAUUUAUGCUAACACUUAAUCAGUUCCACAAAGCUUUGUUGUCUAUUUGAGCUCCACAGAAUCUAAGAAUCAAGAAGACUAGCAUAAGGACAUUCUAAUCGCUGUCAGAAUAGUGCCGACUUCAAAUACACCUCUGCCACCUGCUAGCUACAUCAGAAGAAAUUACGUCAAAAUUCAGCUUGGGGGAGAGCACCCCUAUUUAUCCCGAUAAGUAUUUCUAUCUAUCUAUAUACUUAUAUUAUAUUAGAAUAUAAAUAUACAUAACUAUGGAAAACCAAAUAAAGAUUUUAUGCUUAUAUAUAUGUCUUUUGCUUAGUGUGUUUAAUAAAUGAAUAACGUGGCUAUGCUAAACUGAAUCUUAAUAAUAAACCUCUAGCAUGGAUAUGAUGAAUAGUUGCUCUGCCUAAUUUUCAAAUUUGAGUUUUCUCUCAAGUUUAGACAUAACUGUUAUAAUUUAAAGCUUGCUCUAAACCUAAACUUGUGGGAAGAAAACUUGAUUUGAAGUCUAAGUUGUUAAUGGAUACAAUAUGAGAAGGUUGAGCUACUGUUUAUCUGUUCCUAGAGAUGCUAGAAUUCUGGAGAGUUUUAUCUUUGAAAAUCUUUAAAAUAAUACAUGAUGAGUUCCUGUAUGAUGAGAGUUUAAAUUCCUACCACAGCCAUAUAUACAUGCUUGCUAGACUUUGAGCCACACAUUUACUAUUUACUGCUUAUGAGCAUUGAGUGUUGUCAAGCUGUGUAGACACUUAGGAGCUUGUCAUGUGGUUAAAUCAAGAUUCACUUGCACGUCCACUCACACAUGCUGCUUCUACUCCGGAAAUACGCAUCCACAUAUAUCCACCCAUUUUCAUCUCCAGAACCACCCAAAAAUAUUCUACUCCUAAUCCGGGAGAGAAUAGCCAAAAAAAUUUCUGUUUUUCCUUGUGAAAUAAAUGCUCAAGUUAUCUUGUUACUACCACUUGCUAUAUUAUCUCAAGAGAUGAGUGCUCUAAAAAAAGAUACGAGGAAAUAAAAAGGGGCAAGUGCCCGAAACCUCGAAAGAAAAGAAAAAAGUAAGACGAGAGGUAAAAAUGGACAAGUGUCCAACAGUAGAAUUAGGGGUACAAGAUACCCACCUAAGAUAAAAGAAAAAUAAAAAAAAUACAGAGCAUCUCAUUCUCCUCACAAAGUUUCAAAGAGCAAGAAAGGUAUGUAUCCUCUCAAAAGAGCAAAAGUAGAAUUAGACUGUCACCAUUGUUAUCACCAUCAUCACCAUACACCAUUCAUUCGCCACACAUGCACAUCUUGAUUUGACUUAUUAAUUUGUUUCUUUGGAUCCACGGUUUGACUAUACAAUAAAUGUCUUGUAAGUAUGUAUAUUUUAUCUCCAACCUAUGAGCUCCAGAUAUUAAAGCCUUAUUAGAGUAGGGUGAGAGAGAAGGCAAUAUCACUAUGCCUUAUACCACAAAUACCACAUACUUUGAGAGAAGGCAUAUACCAUUACUGCCUUGGUAAGGAUCCAGAAAUACCACAAAAGAGAGAUCUGAGAGAGUCAUACAAAGAAUCUCUGAGUUUUAUUUGAAAAUCUGCAAAAACUCCAGAGCUAUAGCUGAUCAAGAAUAAGAGACAUGGCACUUGACUAGACUGUUCUAUCUUUUAACUACUCAAGACAGAAGUGACGGUUACAAGUCCCAUGGUGAAAGGUAAAGUAAGUAAGUUUUAAGUCUUGACAGUUUACUCUAACUCAGAGAUGAGAUCUUAUUUAAAAGCAUGUGUACCAUCAAUUUUUAAAGAUAUUGCAACAACUUCUAAUCCAUCGCUGAGAUUAUCCUUGCUUAGGGACGAGCAAGAGGUAAGCUUGAGGGAGUUUGUUGACGGUCCUUAAGUAUCAAACUUAAUUAUCAAAUAAACAAAGAAAAGGAUCCAAAUGCAAUCAACUUCUAGACUUAGGGUUUUAUCUGAAAGAAUUCCACGAGUUUUGGUGUUUGUCUAUUUCUACAGGGGGUUAUCAGGAAAUACAGAAGAAAGGCCCACACGUCGGGAUUACAUAGAGAUAUCAACGUGCCGCGCAAUUAUCUUACAUCUAGAAGACUCCAGAAGCCACGAGAACGAAGCAGAGGCCGAACCGGGCCUGGCCCAGGGCGCCCGCCCUGAGGACCAGGGCGCCCGCCCCCCUUUAGAGUCCAAUCAGAACUCUCUUUCGGGAUCAAGCUCCACCGACCUAAAGGACCAAGGAUAACCGUUCAAUCAAUGUCGGUUUGAUCCGACGGCCCAUAUUCACUCUUAGGGACUAUAAAACCAGACACCCUGGCCCCUGGAGGAGAGAGCCUCUCAACCCUAAUUCAUUAUUCAUCAAGGGAGAAGAAGCCUCUGAUCAAGCCUAGAGCCACCACAUCAAUUAGACAUCUAGAUUAGCAUAGCUACAUAGGAUUAGAACUAGAAGGAGUCAAUCUUCGAUUUGUUUCCGGAUCUGCCAGGAGGAUUCUUUGUAAUUUUCUAAUUGUUCAUCUUUGUUCUUCAAUAUUAUGAAUAUGACUUUGUUCUACUUCAAUAUAUUGCUUAUGACUUUGCUCUACUUGUUUAUAUUCAAGAUUAUAUUGUUCUUAGUUUAUCAUGGUUAUAUACUUGGCUUAGUUAGAUUGGAAUUAUAUACUUGUUUAGGAUUGUAUAGCGUUUAUCCAUCGGACCCAUGGGUAAAUGAUAGAUAUUGUGUAGGUGUGGUGCUUAUACCGUAUUUAUCUGCGAUUGUACCCAAUAUGCCAGAUCGCGGGGUAGUUCGUGAUAGUGACAGCUUCAUUGAUUCUUAUAUAGUCCCCC
rnacentral:lncRNA from 1 species